rnacentral:lncRNA from 1 species
GAGAAAGGAAAAACAGUCUUGACAGAACAAUCUUUCCACAAUUCUGAAGAUGAGCUACCAGGCUCCUCAUUUCUUGACCAUGGAUUAUCAGCAAAGGUUUCUUUCGAGCAAGUGCUACCAGUCUUAAGUUGCUUAUCAACAACCUUAGGUUCACUGGCUUGAAUCUUAGGUUCACUGGCUUGAAUCUUUUCAUACUUGGAUUCUGCAUUAGAUUUACUAGUACUUUCAAGCCACGAGGUCUUCUUCUCACCAGAAAAGAGAAUCUCUUCACUGGAAUCUGAAUCUCGAGGUCUCAAUUUGACUUUGCCAACACCAGGAAUUUCGGUUGUACAAUAUCUUGAUUGCUCCAAAGUCUGAAGCUCUGAGAAGUUAUGGAUACUAUCGUUUCUGUAAGGAUCUGACGGACCAUUGUUAGAAUUACAGUUCCAAGAGUACAAAUCAAGUACAGUAUCCUCUGAUCCUUUGGAGAAAGUAAAGUUCCUGUCUUUACUAGUCCCACUAGCCUCAUUAGGCUUAUUCCGCUCCCCAGUAGAAGCAGUGUUUCUCCAUUUGCUUUCAGAACCAUUUCUACCAAUCCCACACUCAAUUUCUUUCACAAUAAGUUCAUUAGAAACUUCACCACUAUUACGAGAACUAGAACCUUGAUUUUUACUAGCCAAUUUGCCCACAUUCUCUUCUUGCACCACCUCAGUUGUAUCCUUCUCUUCAAGGUUAAGUUUCUGAAGAAAUCCAUUUAAAUCAGGGCAGUUACUGAGCUCACUGCGCAAAGCUGCCUCAGCUCUCGUGAAAUGAUUUCUCUUCAAAAAUUCCAAAAUCACAUCAACUGUGCCCGUGUCUUCCAUUAUCAACAACUAGGGAUAAAAAGCAGAUACUAGAAAGAAGAAUCCACUGAACCUGAGAACAGCAGAUGCACUAUGUCAGGUCAUGUUAUGCCGAAAGCUUUGGAAACAAGGACGAAAAGAAAAAUCUCAAAUCCUGCUGCCUGUUGUUAUGCUUUCCAACAAAAUAUGAAUUUAUCAAACUAAGCUGAUAAUGGGCAACAUAGGGCUUAGCAUAUCCUAGUGUCACAAUGGUAUCAAAAUUUCAAAACCUUAGCUACAUAAAUUUGUGAGCCUCAAGCACCAAAGAAGCCCCAACUAUAAUCCUCAUGCAGCAUAUGGAUUCUACUACAGUACUUGAAUAUUCAGUAAUGCUUAGCUUAUUAUAGUGUCGUUUACGUCCCCAAUAAAAUAAAAAAAAAUAAAAAACAGGAAUACAAAUUUGAAGAUGUGAAACCAUUCCCCCAUUUCGCACAUUUUCUCACCGAACAAACAUCAAAAAGAAAAACGAAAAACCCCAGGAAAAUUUCCAACUACAAAGCCUCAAAAAUCAAAUCCGCCGCCGCAAAGAUCCCCGGUUGUCCAAACAAAACCCUAGAAAUUCGAAAACACAAAACACUAUCCAACCCGAGAUUCACACUCCCAAAAUAAAAUUAAAAAAAAUGAAAAAAGAAAACCAGAGAUUCAAAAAUAACCAAAAAAAAUUGUAUCAUAUUUUUAAAAUAAAUACUUACAGAUCGAAGAUGGAGAAAUGAGGGCACGAAAAUCCAAGGCAGGAAGAUUGGAUGCGGAUCCCAUAGCCAUCACAUAAUGGACACUAACAUAGAGUAUUACACAUUACAAAACAAUUUUCAGAAUUUUUAUUUUCAAUUUUUUGGGGAGUAUUUCUGUUUGAAAUUUUCACUUUUGGCCUGCACUCUCUCUCAGGUCAGGCCUGUCAUGGGACAACAGGAGUAAAACGCCUUUUCAACAAUAAUAAUAAUUUAUCCAAUUUUAUCACCUACAUCCCUUAUUUUUAUAAUUUAUCAAAUUUAAGUGAAGUAGUUUCUCAGAUUUAGUAAAUAAGUCCCUAACCUAAAGUUCAAAUGCAGGCAGAUAACUCUCCAAUGGAAGGGUAAUAUGGUCAUUUAGAAGGCGUAGCGGAUCUGUUUAACAUAAAGAGACAAACGUUGUUCUAAUUUAAGAAAAUAAUAGACCUUAGGGAUCUAUUUGAUAACCACUCAGAAUAAACUCAACUGUGAUGUAAUGUUCUAUGUCUAUGUGCCUCGUGAUUUGUGUUCUCAAAAUAUUUCAGUCCGAUCAACGGUUUUGAAUCGUUUGAUUUUUUUUUCGAAUAUUGAAUCGUUUGAUUUAAAGGAUCAACUUAAUGUGUGGUUAGUAGUGGGAGACGUAGUGGUACGCUGGUGGAGGUGCGGGUGCACGUGAACGUCAUUACAUGAAAAUAGUUAUGUAUGGAAUAAAUUCGAAAAUGAAGAAAAUUACUGUAUACAUUCCACACAAUAUCCUUUUCCAAGCAGCUGAAGCUAUAAAAGGGAUUUUUGGGGGGAAAAAAUCUCAAUUAUAUCUUCAUUUUAAAUUGAGACUGUAUCAAAUUUUAACAUAGAAAUUACAUUAAAAAAUAAAUUAAUAUGGGAAUAAAAAUCUCUAUAUAAACAACUAAAGUUAAAUUAAUUCAUUUUUAUUUUAAAUAAAAAUUUAAUUAUACACUUAAAUAAAAUUUUCUUUUAAAAACUUUUUAUACCCAUUUCAUUUCAUAAAUUAGAUUUUAUUUUAAAUUUUAAUUAAGAAUAUUUUUUUUUUUAGAAAUUUAUAAAAAAAAAUUAGGAUCAUGGAGAUAGAAACCAUAUGAAAAGAAAAAAAAUAAUUUAAAAUUUUAAUAUUUUCAUGUAUUUAAAAAUAAAAACUUAAAAGAAAUAUUUCUUUUUAGAUAGAAGAAAAAUUUAUGGUAAGAUGAUUAAUUUUAAUAUAUGGUAAAUAUUUUAUAACUUAAAUCGAGAAUAUUUUAGAAAAUAAAAUUUAAAAUGAGUGUUAUAAGAAUUUUAGAGUGGGUUAAAAGCUCAACCCCUUGACAAAGUGCUUCGGGCCACAAACGCCUUUUAGACCCAAUGGAAACAUAUUGGCUCAGUCCAAAAAAGGCCUAAAUCCACAUAACCUGCUCUGAAACUUCAAUUGUAGGAUGUCAGUUGGUAACACUUUUUCUUCUUCUCCCAACCUUACUGAUGGCUCUUUUAUUGAGCAUUCUCACAAAAUUGAUUCAACGACAGUGGCUGGCCCCCAGCCCCGCCGAGAAAAAUGAAGAUCCUGUUUGGUUUAAAGAAAGGGAAGAAGAGAAAAAGAGUGGAAUGGAAGGGAAGGGAGAAAAAAUGAGUAGAGAAGAAUAGUGAAAUUAAAUUUCAUUUUUUGGUUUAACAUAAAAUUUGAUAGGGAAAUGAAUUAUAAUUUUUUUCUUUGGACAAAUUUAUCUUUGUCUUAAAUACUAAAUUACCUAUAUUAGUAAUGAAAUAUAAUUUAAUAUUAAUACCAAACUUUUUUAAUGUUAAAAAAUCCUAAAAAAAUUCAUGAUUUAUAUUUAAUAUAAAAUAAUUUAAUAUACUAAACUAUUUCAUAUAAUUUAAUAUAAAUAUAAGGCAGUCAAUAGCGAUGGUCAACAAAGGUCAAUGGCGGCCGGUGAUUUUCCAGUGAAAUUUCGGCGAUGGUCCUGAGGGUCCGGCGACUUUCCAGCGGAGUUAUGAAGACGGUCCGACAGAGGUCCGGCGAAAUUCUGGCAACAAUUAUUUUAUAUUUCUAUAUUUCAUAUUAAAUAAGUUUAUUUAUUUUAUUAAGUUUCUUGAAUCAUUCAUUAAAUUUAAUUAAUAUAAAAUUAUUUAUAAUAUUAAAUUGAUAAAAUAAAAUUAUAAAUAAUAAUUAUUAAAGAAAUUAAACAAGUUCAAAUGUUGAAGGGUAAUUUUGGAUGCUUUGGUUUCCAACAUAAGAGGAAUUUGAAUUUUUCACUCCUUGGUGUGGAAUUUAAAUUUUACAAGGAGUGAAGAAUUCAAAUUCUACAUUAUAAUAGAUAUUAAAUUCUAAUAAAAUUAAAUUCUUAUAUAUUUUGUGUAACCAAAUAAUAGAAAUAAAAAUAAAAUUUAAAUUACUCACCUCUCAUCCAUUCUCUCCUCCCAACCAAACAUUGACGAAACUUCUAUGCCGGAAUGUCUAGGGCUUGGGGAACAUCCCGACGUUCGAUGCUUCGCAUUAUGUUCUUCAUUCACACAAGUCAAAAGUAAUUUUCUCUGGUGUGAAACUAAAAUGACAAAUCAGCAAAUGGUGAGAAUCUAAGGGCCUAUUUGGUAGCGUUUUUGGGCCCUUGGUUCUAUUUUUGUUUUGAGAAUAUAGAUGUAAUACAUGUUCAGUAGACUGGACUCAAAAAAUAAACUAUAAAACAAAUAAUCUAAAUUCACUUUAACAGUUAUAAAAUUGAAAACAUGUUUAACUUGUUCUCCAUAUAUUGCAAAUUAAAUUCGGAAAUAAAUUAUAGAAUAAAAUCCAAAAGCUCUCUCUCUCCCCUAAAAUCUUAUCUUGCACAGCUCUCUCUCCUUAUCUCUUCAUUGAUUUCACAGCUCUCUCACUCUUAUUCACUUUAUCCCGAUCUAACUGUUAUUUGCAUCUUUGUCGUUGCUCCUCACGUUUCCGUCGUAGCUACUACUACUGCACUGCAUCUUCGCCGCCACCGUCGCUGCGCUGCAUUUCUGCUACUGUUGUGUUGCAUCUACGCUGCGUCCCCGCUGCUGCUAAUGCGCUCCGUCUUCGCUGUCGCUACUGCUCCGUCUUGCUGCUUUUGCUGCUCUCUCGGCUCCAUCUUUGUGGCUUGCUGCUCGCUCGGCUCCGUCAAAUCACAUUUGUGUUUUUAUCUUCAUAAAUUGCCAUUUGUUUUAGUUCAAUUCUUUUAUUGUAUUUUUCACACUUAUUACGGUAAAAUUUUGUUUGUUAAAAAAUGAGUAAUUAUUAUUUAUUUUGUGUGCAUGAUUUCAUUGUUCUUAGUUUUUUUUUUUUUUUUAUGCCGUGCUAUGAAAAAAUGAGUUAAAAACAUUUGACAAUAGCUUGGUCUUUGUUUGAAUUGGUCAAUUUGUAGUAGAAUAUAUUUGAUUUUGAUUUUUUAAAUUUUUAAUCUAUGACAUGUUGCUAAAUGGCUUUCAUCCUAUUUUCAAUUUGAUUAAUUUCAAAAGUUUAAGCUAUGUAUGUUUUGAGAGCAAUUUCUUUAGUUUCAUUAAUAUUUGACAUAUGUAAUUUUUUUAAUUUUUUAGUAACAAGAUAUAUAUCCACAAGAUAUUGAUGGUGAGAAUAAGUAAUUUUUAAUUAUAGUGUAAAAAGGAGAUAUGCAUGAUGUCUAUUAUGUAAUUUUUUAUAAUUAUUUUUUAAAAUUAUUUAUGGUAUCUUUAUGUAAAUAUUAGUUAAACAAUUAUUUUUUUAACUAUAAGUAUGACUUAAAUAUUUAGUAAAAAUUAUUUUUGAAAUUGGUACUCCCGAACACAUAUCUAAUAUUUUUAUCAUUUUCAGUUUCCGCUACAAAAUGCAUAUUACUGUUUUUAGUUUUAAAAAAUAAUAUAUAGAAAAUGAUACCAAACGCAUAUUUAAAUUUGAAAUACUACAACUGCAAAACAUUAUUUUUAUUCUCAUUUUUGUUUUUUAAAAAAGAUAAAUUCAGAAACAAUACUCAACAGUAAGGGUGUUCGCGGAUCGGAUUUUACGGAUUAGACAUCAAUUCAUAUCUGAUCCACAAUUUUACGGAUUAUAAUUUUUCAAUCCAAUCCAAUCAACGGAUUGAUUAAACUCAAUCCAAAUCCAAUCCAUACAUCUGUGGAUCGGAUGCAGAUUUGACUCAAUCCAUAUCCAAUCCAUAUGUCUGCGGAUCGGAUACGGAUUUAACUUAAUCCAUAUCUAAUCCACCAUUUUGCGCAUUAGUUUCCGAAUUAAAAAUUUUUAGUUCUCCCCAAUUCAUGAACAAAUGAAAUUAAAAAAAAAAAAUCUAAUAUAAAAAUAAUUUUUACUACCAAUUAAAUUUAAAAUUGAAUAAAAAUUAAACAAAUUAAUUGUUUAAAUAAAACUAAAAUAAUACAUUCAAAGUUUUAAAAUAUAGUACAUCAAGAUUAAUUGUUCAAAUAAAACUACAAUAAUACAUUUAAAGUUUCAAAAUAUAACACACUAAGAUUUAUUAUUCAAAUAAAGUUACAAUAAUACAUUAACAUAACACCGAAAUUAAUUGUUCAAAUAAAGCCACAAUUAAUUGAAAUGGCAAAGUUUCUGAUACCAAACACAGUAUGAUCCUUCACCAGAGCUAUUGCACUUGUCAAAAAGUGGUAUUUACGGAGCCGUCAACAAUGGGAACUAGAAGAAGUACGGGUGGUGAUCUUGAAGGUUGUGAUAGAACAAUUGUUUGGUUGGAACCAGUGAUUGUGAAGUGGCUCGAUGGACUCGGGGAAGAAGCUGGCUUGCUCUCGCUGGAAUCAUGCGGCCGACGUCCUUCAAAACGGUGUCGAGAGUGUAUCGAACCAGUAUGGGUGUUGCUAGUGCGUGUGACGGCGAGGAAGCUUAGGGUUUUUUGUUUGCAAAUUGUUUGUGACUUGACAUUGCGUUACUUUAUUUUUGGGUGACUUUGCAAAUUAUUGGUAACUUGGCGUUAUGUUACUUUGCUUUUGCCAGUGCGUGUGACUUUGCUUUUAUUUUGUUUUACAAUUUUUACAAGUUAUAUUUGUAUAUUUGAUUAUUUAAUUAUUUUUUAUUUAAUAUUAUUAUUGGGUAAUGACUAAGAUAUGUUAUAGUGCUUAUGUAACUAUGUAAUGUCACAUUUAUAAUAUUCUUUAAUUAAAUUUAUAAUAAAUUUUUAACUAAAUAAAUAAAUAUAUAUAUAUAUAUUUUUUUUUUUUUUUUUGCAGAUUCACGGAUUUUUACGGAUUUACAGAAGUAAAUUCAUAUCCAAUCCAUCGACUGCGGAUUUUUAAAUUUUCAAUCCAUAUCCAAUCUACGGAUCCACGGAUCGAAUUUUCACAGAUCAGACAGAUUGAACGGAUCGGAUUAGAUUCUAAACACCCCUACUCAACAGGCCCUAAGUUAUAAUCUACCAAUUGUUUUGUUGUUAAAAGAAGGCUAGUGCGUGAUUACGGCUUGACAUGGCGUUUUUUCGGUUUAUACGGUAAUUCGGAACCAGACCAUAAAAGGCAUACUUGGAGCUUAUUGAAAAGGCUUUCUAAUUUGUCCCCCCUCCCUUGGCUCUAUAGUGGUGGUUUUAAUGAAAUUUUAGAGCCAUGGAAAAAAAAGGGGAGGAUUGUCUAGAAGUGCGAAGGCAGUUAAUGGUUUUACGAGAGCUAUAGCGGAUUGAGAGGUGAUUGAUGCAAGGCUGGGAUGGUUACUCUUUCACAUGGUAAAAUAAACGUUAUGGCCCUAACUUUGGGGAACGAAGAUUGGAUCGAUUUUUUAUAUACUUAACAAUGGAAGAAUUCAUUCAAGGAUUCUUUUUUCACAACCGCAAGUAUUAAUCGCACGUUUGAUUUGAAGAAAUGAAAAGAGUGAAAAUGAGAGAAAAGGAGGAGAGGAGAAGAAAAUAAGUGGAAAAUAGAUGAAUUGCAUGUUAAACUAAAUAAUAAAAUUGAGAUUAUUCCCUCCUUUUUUUUUCUCAUUUUCUUUUCCUCUCUACUUUCUAUUUUUUUUUCUCUCUUCUCAUUUCUUCAAACCAAAUAUAGGCUAACAAGGUGAGGCUAUUUGUACUUUAAAAAUUACUCUAAAUGUUCAUUUAAAAAUUUAAAAAAAUUAAGUUUUACUUUGUACACUAUUUCAAAUGUCAGAAAAAACACUUAAACCUUUUAGAUUUAAUCAUUCAAUUCAUCAGAAGACCAAAGUUAGAAUAAGACAUUUUCAUUUCUUUUGUAAAAAAUAUUUUAAGGUGCUGUACGGUUGGCGUUAGAGAACGUCAGAAAAGAAUUUGAUUUCCUUUCAAUUAGUCUCUCCGCCGUUCGGUUGGCCAAUCCAAAUAGCAAUUCAAUUUCCGAAUAAGUUCUAAUUUCCUUAAAAUCGAGAAACCCGAUUCUUGUUUAGUGUGGUGAAUUCAAUUUCAUAUCUCGUGUCACUAACGAAUUUCCAUAAUUACCCUUCUAUAUGCAAAUAGUUAGGGACAUAGAUUUUGACAUCAACAGAAAUAAUUUAUUAAAUUCUCUUUAUUUUGACAUCAACAGAAAUAAUUUAUUAUAUUCUCUUUUACAGAGACAGAGACAGGUAUAAAAUUAAAAAAUUUUGGUAUUUUCCGUGUUUAAUUUUUUAUAUAAUUUUUAGGAUCAAACAAUUUUUGGACAAACAAUAAUUAUCGGCACUCAACUAACGGGCUUAAACAGAAUAUGCAUACAUGCAUAUUUCGUGCGGAUACAACUAUGUUGUGUUUACUUUCUGGAGUGGGAGUGUAGAUUUCUCACACUCCAGUAUUUAUUUCAACAAUUUAAGGGGAAUUGGGAAUCCCACUCUGUGGGCCUCCUUAUUAAAGAACUCACAUGGGGAGAGGUGGGAAGUGGGAAUCCCACCCUUGUAAAUAAUUUUUAAUUUAUAUAAUUAAAAUUGAAAUUAAUAAAAAAUUGUGAUGUACAUAAUUAAGAAUAUUAAUAAUUAUUAUAAAUUUACAAAUAUAAUAAAAUAAAUUUUUAUUCAUUAAAUAUUUUUUUUAUUAAUUUUGUAAUUAAAAAAUAUAAUUCUUUAAUAAGGAUAAAAUUAUAAUUUGAAACUAUUUACUUCCAAUCCAAGAGAAAGUAAACACAUAAAUUAGAUUUUGAUCUCCAUUCCAUUCUUUCAUUCUAGUGUAAGUAAACAACAUACUCACACUCCCACUCUACACUUUCAAUCCUAGGAUUUUCACUCUUCGGGAUUUUCACUCUAAUCCAAAAAGUAAACGCUACCAUAAAAGACAAAAGAAAUAUAUAUAGACUCCCAACGCGACUGGACAAUUAUAAUUAGAUUGAGCUAGCCAUAAAAACAUUCCAUAAUUUAUCUUAUCCCUGCUAAUUAUACAUUUCUUUCCAAGUCAAAAAAGGAAAUCCAAGGUGCUGGAUCUUAGGCUAUAGAUAUAUUUGCUCACUCCAGUGGUAAAGGCUGGGUUGGCUGCAGCAAUCAAUGUUUCUUAAGCAAUCACUAAGCUUGCAUCAGUAUUGUAUUCCUAUCUUAGAAAAGGGAAACUGAUGUAUGUAUAGGUCAUUAAGGUCUUCAUGUACGAAACUAGGGGUGGGCAAAAAAAACUGAUUAAUCAAAAAUCGAACCGAACCGAUCGAUUCGGUUCGGUUUUUGUGCGGUUUUUUUACCUUCAAAAAAUCGAAAUAGUAAUAUAAAAAAAGUAGUAAAACCAAUCGGUUCGGUUUUCGGUUUUAUAAAAAAAAUUGAAAAACUGAACUGGAAUCUCAAAUAAACUGAUUGUUUUGAAACCUAAAGGUAAAAUCUAAAUCUAAACACUUCUGACUUUUGUCUUCUUCUGUUCCCGCUGGCCGCUGCUCGUCGUGACUUCUUCUGUUCCCGCUGGCCGCUGCUCGUCGUGACCUUCAGCCAAAAGCAAAAACCGAACUCGUGAGUCGUGACCUUCAGCCACAGGCUCGAGUCGUGACCUUCAGCCACACUUCUGACUUCUGUCUUCUUCUGUUCCCGCUGGUCACUGCUCGUCGUGACUCUUCUAUUUCCUGCUGGCCGCUGCUCGUCGUGACCUUCAGCCAAAAGCAAAAACCUUCGUAAGUCAUGACUUUCAGCCACAGGCUCGAGUCGUGACCUUCAGCCACACUUCUGUCUUCUUCUGUCCCCUCUGCUCGUCGCUGCCGCUGCAAGCUCGAACUGGAACUAAACUCAAAAUAAUCGUCCAAACCAAAACCUAGUAUAGCAAGUGUCACUAGUGUUCUUCACAUUUUGAGAUCACCAUUCAGUUAUCCGCGACCGUUAGAUUUGCUUCUUUACGGUCAGAUUCAAAUCCGUUAGUGAAGUGAAUCCAACUGCAGCCACUCUAUGGUGAGUCUCUUUUUUGUGUCUCAGUUAUCGGGUUUGUGAAUUUAUGGUAAUUUCUGUGCCUUUCUAUGCUGAACUAAUUGGUUAGAUAAUUUAUUUUAUUUUAUUUCAAAUUCUAGUUUAUCUUAUUAUUUCUAGAUUAUUUUUUACACAUGGCAUUUGUUUUCUGUUUAACAUUUGGUAUCCUCAUAUUUGUAGCAAUAUAAUAUAAAUGUUCUGUGAAUUGAUAAGUAAAUGAUAACUUGGGAAGAUAAUUGCUCCGUUCAUCGGCUUUGUAUAUGAGAAUUCGGCUACUAAUCAUGUUAGCUAAAAACAAAUCAAAUUGUUUUCCGAUGAAAUUUAGAAGAUGCUAUUGUCAUAUUGAACAUACUUUGAGACAUACUUUGAUUUUUUGUUUGUUAACUUUUUAUGUUUGUGGUAGAUUUAUUAAUUUAAGGUUUUAAAUUUAAAAAAGCCUAAAAUAGGCCCAAUAGGCCUAUAAUCAAAAUAAUCGAAUCGAAUCAAAUUGAAUUAUUUCAAUUAAUCGAGUAUUUGAUUAUUUCGGUAAUUUGAUUAAUCACGAUUAUGAUUUUAAAAUUAUCGUAAUAGAAUGAUUAUGAAAAAUUUAGUAAAAAACCGAACCGAACCGAAUCGCGCCCACCCUUAUACGAAACUGCUCAAUUUCCAUAAUUGCCAAGUUGAUACGGUUCAAAUGUUUUAGAGGAAAUUUUAGAUGAUUAUCGGUUUUUGAGAAGCUCUAACUGCUGGAAAUUUGCAAACUCAUUAUGUUGGUUAGUAAUUUUGGUUUACAUUUUCUUGUCUAGUAUGUAUCUAUUCAUUAUAUUUUCCUUAUUUGGGGAUGACUUUAGUGGAUGCUAAUCUAGGUUUUCAACAUAUGUCAAUGCUCAUGACGAGCUAUUUAUAUAUCUUAUUAAAUAGUUGUUGAGCAGCAUUUAACUGGCUUUUGCUGUAUUUGAACACUAAGAGCCUGCUUGAGAUUAUUUUUGAAAGGCUCAAAAGUGAUUUUAAAAAUUUAAAAGUUAAUUUUAGUGUUUGGUAAAUUUUUUUUAAAAUUACUUUAGACAAAAUCACUCCAUUCUAUAAUAUAUUUUGAAAAAAGGAAUAGAUUUUUAAAAUUUGAUUUUGAUAAUCUAUUUUGGACUUAAUACAAUUACAUAUAUAUGCUCGUAUAAAUAUUGCAAAAUUCCAAAAUUAUUAUUAUCAAUUAGGAAAUAAAAUCAUUAAUUUUAAAGAGAUUAUUAUUAUUAUUAUCAAUUAUAUUGAGAUAGCAAAAUAAAAAAUAAAAUUAAUAAUUAAAAUAUUUAUUUUAGUCAUCAAUUAUUAUAUGUACACAAUAAAAAAUAAUUUAUAAACAUAUUUAUAAUAUGUUGAUAAAUUUUAUUUAACAUCAUGUUAAAUUCAGUCAUUUAUAUUCUUACAACUAUUUAAUCGUAAGAUUUACUAAACACAUACGACUGCUUUAAAAUUCAGAGUAGUUUAAAAAUAAAUUUUACAAAAUAUUUAAUUGAUUCUCUUUAUAGCUGAUUAUUUCUACUGCACAAUUAACAACAAUUAUUUUAAAAGUUACAACAUUACUAAAUUGGCCUUGAGGGCCCAUUUGGUAUUUGGACUGAAUUGGAUUGGAUAUGAUUAAACUAGACUAUAGUUUAGAGUCGGACUAUUAACACCCCUCCAAAAUCUUAUUGAAACCCCUUUUUAAAUUAUAUUCCAUUUAAUACCAAAAGUGCCCUCUUUUUUUUUUUUUUCUAAAUGAAUGUUCUUUCCAUUUAUGAAUUUUCAAUUUUUAAUAAUUUUCUCAUUGUUUCAAUCUUAAUAUUUGUAUUCAUGUCUUCAAACUUUCUUUAUUAUUUGAUUUCCAAAGAAAAAAAUCUUAAAGAAAAGUAAGAAAAACAUUAUACUUAGAAAAUAAUGAUAUUUUAUGAGUUUAAUAUAAUUUUAUCCUACAUAUAAAUUUUGGGUUCAGCAAUUAGUUUGAGAAUUCUUAAAAAAAUUAUUUGUAGCGAGAUAAAAUUUUGUUUCAUUUAUUUUCCACUAUGUUGUAUCUUAAUUAAUUUGUUAUGUUUAUUGCAAAAAAAUUGUUUUGACUUAGACGAUUACUUCCUAAAUUCAGAUUAAUUUGAUGAUAAGAAAAUUUAUAUUUUGCAAGCAAAAUAAAAUUGAAGAGAGAGAGAGAAAAUAUAAAUGGCUUAAUUCUAUUUAUAUUUGUCCUUAAAUGUAAUGAUAAUAUAACAGGGGUUUUAUGAGAUUAAUGAAGGGUUGCCAGUAGUCCAACUCUAUGGUUUAUUUUGUUGUGUUUGGUGAAGUAAUGGGUGGGAUUAGAUUGUACAUGAUUUUUUUUAUUAAAACAUAAUAAUUAUUUGUGUAAAAAUUUUACCACUAAUUUAAUUCAAAUGUACAAAUUAUUAAAAAUAAUUAUUGUUGUUAUAAAAAUAAAUUCUUACAUAUUUAAAUACAUUUUUGUUUAUGAUAAUAUAUAUUUUAUAAAAUUAUAAUAUAUAUUUUAUAUUCUUAUUUAAACAAAAAAUGUUAUUAUUAUUAAUUAUUCUUAUCAACGUAGAUGAAAAUUAAUUAAGUAUAAUUCAAAAAAAUUUUAAAUAUGAUUUUACUUAUGUAUUUUAUUAUAUGUUAAAUUUAAUUAUUAUUAAUAUAUAUUUUGAUUAAUUAUUCACAAAAAAAUUUAAUUUAUUAAUUAAAAAUAAUCAAAUAAUUUAUCAAACUUGUGCCAUACACUAACCCCGAAGACGUGGGAUAAGUUUUUCUGAUUUUCAUUAAAUAGUUGGUCCCAAAAUGGGACCCAUAGAAAUUAUUCCCACUUGAAAAUUGCGUUAAACGUAAGACGAGCUUCGUAUACGGCUAUUUUCAGUCCAAUCCCAAUAACAACCCUGCAACCAAAUGGACCCUAACGGUGAAUGUUGAAAAAGUUACCGGGUGAAUGUUGAAAAAGUUACCGUAUCUGGGGAGAAGAAGACACGAAAGCUCUAGAGGAAUUCAGCAAUUAAACAUAAUUAUCAUGCAGUCAGGAACUGGUGGGUCUAUCCUGUAUCAUCUGAAGAAACUCAGAGAAACCGGACAUUGAACAGCUCAAAUGGCUAUUUCUAUGGUCAAGGUUCUCAUGGAAGCACUGAAUAUGAGAGUCAUGGUUAUCGUAGCCAACAAGGGAGCAUAUCUGAACCGAGAAUUAGUUGCGGAUCUUCAAGCUCAUCAAAUUCUGCAAAAUAUGGGACAUAGACUCAUGAAAAUGAGCUUGACUUUACUUCGACUGGGAAAAAAAAUCUUAAUGAAAAUACAGGAUUGAAUGGUUAUUGUGAAACGAAAGCAGUGUAUGGAAUUAUAGAAGCCAGAAAUAUAAUGAAUGCUAUGGGAACAAAAGCUUGUAAAUCGGCAAAAUCGCGUACGAAAGUGGAUGAUGAUGCUUAGAAAAAGAGAGGAAGGGACUGUUUGUAGAGGAAUCAAGUAGUUUUUCUGCCUUUUUCCCCUUCAUAUUUCAAGCAGUUCGUGGUUUUUCUAGUUUUUUUUUGCCAACGUAGCACAAGGAAACAACGGCGUCUCCAAGAUGGGAAUUAUCAGGAUGAUGAGAUUAAGGGUUUAUUUAGAAUUAAAGUUAAACAAUUAUAAUUUAAAAAUUAUAAUAUUAAAAUAUUUAAUAAACAUGCUAUAUUUUAAAAAGGGAAAGUUUUAGUCUACCCUCAAAUAAAUUAACAUUUUACACCGUGUACCCAAUAAAAUUGACUGUUGCAUCACGCCCCUAAUUCCGUUAAUUUUUUAAUUAUUUUAAACAGCUCCGACUGAUUUUUUAUCUAAUGACAAAAAUGCCCCUUUUAAGUUUGAUUACACAAAAACACCCCUUCUUCUCCAUUUCUAACGAGCUUAGCUAUCUUCUUUUUUUUCUGAGCAAAGGAUUUUAUUUUAAUUGCAAAAAAAAAAAUUCCUGUUAUAUGUACAUUGUCACCAUUUUAUUUUUUCUCAAAAAAAUAUUAUCAGGUUAUAUAAAAUACACAGCCGCCAAAAAAAAUUUAACAAACGAAUACAAAGAAAUCUGAAGAUAAAGAAUAAUUAAUAAAAAAUAAACAAAUUAAAAAGACCACAACACAUUCAAUGAUUACAAUUAAAUUCAGUCCCUUCCACAACCAUUUUCAUCACCACUGAUUCCUUAUCCGCCACCAUAUUCUUCAACCCAAUCAGAAAAAUUACCCAUGAAUCAUUAAUUAACGCAUUUGAUUUUGAUUACUUGAUUUAGGGUUUCAAAAUACAAGCCCCUAAAUCAUAAUUCAAAACAACCCAAAUAAUAACUAAUGAAACCCCAAAAUCCAUAAUACUAAGCCUAAAAGUAACUAAGCAGUGGCGGCCAAAGGAAGCAGCUGACGCUCCAGAGUGGCGCGGUGGCAAUCGCGGUGGUUGAUGUUUUACAAUUGGUAGAAUGAAGAUUUAGAAGAAAUAGAGCAAAAGAAGAAAAGAAAAUGGAGAAGAAGAAGAAGAGAAGUAAUGGAGAAGAAACAGUGAAGAAGAUGAAGAAAAAGAAAUGGAGAAGAAGAAGGAGAUAAGUAAUGGAGAAGAAAAAUGAAAAGAAACAGAGAAGAAGAUGACGAAAAAGAAAUGGAGAAGAAGAAGGAGAAGAAACAAAGAAGAAGAAGAAGAAAAAGAAAUGGAGAAGACCGAGAAGAAAUAAAAAGAAAGAGGAAAGAAAAAGGAAAGGACUAAAUAAAGAGAAGCCAAAAAUAAAAAGAGUUUCUACUAAAAUUGAUUAAGGCUUGAACUUCCGAUUUUAACUCUGCACAGUUAAACUUAACUGAGUACAUAAUGAAAUUGGGGGCGCGGUAUAACGAGUCAAUUUUGUUGGGUACGGGGUGUAAAAUGUUAAUUUAUUUGAGGGUAGGCUAAAAAUUUCCCUUUUAAAAAUAGGUGGGGCUAUUUGCACUAUAAAAUAUAUUUUGAACACUCAUUUACUCUGCACACUCAAUUAAUAAUUUCAAACUAUUGCCUUUUACUUGGAACACUCUUUCGAAUUCCUAUAUUAUCCUCAUUUCUUUAAUUACCUUAUUUCUUCUUUAUACCCAAUAAAAUAUUCAUCAUCACAAACAAAAUAUCUAACUGUUUUCCAUUUUUAUUUACUUUUAUUUUCUGUUCAUAAUAUGUUUUGAUAUGUAUUUGUUCUUCUCUUAUUGCUGCAAUUUAAUUUUGUUUGUCAACCCAUAAAAGCAUGCGAAUAGAGUGAAAAUCAAAUUGCAAAUUUAAAACAAAAUCUUUUGAUUUACUUGCGUUUUCUUAUGUUGGAGUGGUGCAAUUUGUUGUUCUCCUCCCCCUCUAUUUUUAAUUCCUUUUGUUUAAGUUAUAAAGAUGAUCAUGAACAUGUUACUUGAUGUUUUCCUAGCAAUUCUAUUAACCUUUCCUAGCAAUUCUAUUAACCAAAAAAAUGAAAAAAAUUUAGUCCAUAAGUAUAGACAAUGUUUCCAUUUGAAUAUUGAUUCCAUUCUUCACUGUUAAUGUGGUUUAUUGUAGAUAAAAUAUGAUGUGGGAUAACAAUUUGUUAUACUAUAUUUUAAAAUUGUCCUUAGUAGUAAAUUACAUUAAGGUUAAUUUAGUAAUAUAAAAAAUUAUUAUAAUGUGAGUGUCCAAAGUAAAUUUUAGAGUGCAUAUAACCACACCCUUUAAAAAUUAAGCUGAUUUAAUUCAACACUUUUAUGAUGUAAAUUUAUUAUAUUUUAUUAAAAUUAUUAUUUAAAAAUUAUUAUUUAUUAUAUAUAUUAUUAAUUUUUAUUUUAUAAUUAUAAUUUUUUUAAUAAUAAUAAUAAUAACUUUUAAGUUACAAUUAUUUCAAUACUAAAUAAAAUCUAAAUAAGUCAAGUACGCUCGUAUAGGAUAACUCAAAACUUUGGCAUCAUCGACAUUGGAAACUAAAGGUCCCCUAUUGCUUACAGACAGAUACGAAUUUAAAUGGAACCAUGCAAAGAUUUCAUUAUUUUAUUGGGUCUGGGAACUUUCAUUUAUAUUUGUUAUUUUAUUGUACUAGAUGCUGCUUCCUUAUGAAGAAUUUCUGAAGUGAUUUCAAUAUGUAGUCUUUGACCUAUGAUCAUUGAGGGCCUUUUCAAUUGUGGGAAUACCUAAUGCCUGCGCCUUCUACCAUAUGUUAACUGCAGAUUAGUAAUAUAAUCGGUGGCAAAGCUAGCACCAAUUUUUGGGUGGGCUAAUUUUUUUUUUCAAAUUAAAUUUAAUUCUCAAAAAAUUUAUUUUACACCAACGAAAUUAUUUCGUGCAUUACAUAAGCAAAAAUCUAAUAAUAAAAUUAUAAAAAUACAAUGUAAAUAAGUAAAUUACUAUCGAUGAAAUUGUGUCAUGCGAUUCCUAAAAAAAAAAAUCAUUUAUUAUCGCAUCUGAGUCAAUAUUUUCUGCAAUUUCUCUUUCAAUGUAAAUAAUUAUACAAUCAGAAAGAAACUUUUUUACCAUCUUGUUUCGAUAUGUUGUCUUAAUCAGUUUCACAACAAAAAAUGCUCUCUCUACUGUUGUUGUUGAAAUAGGAAGGGUUAACACUAAACGAGUUAAUCUAUCAAGCAAUAAGUAAAUUUGUGACUUUCGAUUCUCAGCUAAUCUUCGAUACAAUCACUACAAGAAUAUUGGUCUUUAGCAACGAAACUUUUAACGACAAAAAUAUUUUCCACAUUGUAAGUACUUUUUAUUCACUUUUUUUUAACAAUAGUAAUAAUAAAUAAAUCAUUUAACGAUAAAGAUUGUUACAAAUGAAUAUAAAUUUCUUUGAUACGAAAGAAUAAGAGAAUAUGUGAUUGUAUCGAAGAUUGGCAUAUCAAAGAGUUUUAAUAAAUAAAUCAUUUUUAAAAUUUUCACAUUUUUUAACAAUAGUAAUAAUAAAUAAAUGAAAGAAAAACGAUAACAUUUUAGUGAUGAAGAUUAUUAUUCGUCCCUAAAUGUGUACUUUUAGUUGGGAAAUAGAAUUUAUCGCUAAAUUUGAAAAUUCAAUGCCAAAGACCUAACGCGACGCUCCUAUGGCUAUGAAAUGGUGAUGAAAUUUUUUUCAUUGUUAUAGCAUUUAGAAAUGAAAAUUGCAUGUUUUAAUGAUAAAAUUGUUUGUCGCUAAAGCCCUUUUUUGUUGUAGUGAAUUCAGAAAGGACAGUAAUAUUUUUAAACUCUUGAAAACGAUAUACAACAAUCUCAAAGCAUUCUAAUUGUCUUCUCAAAGCCUGUAGCCCAAUCUUAGUGAAAUCUUAAAGAUAAAAUCUUUUAGCGAGACAGCAGAUGUCUUCAAUUUUAAAAUGAUUUUAACACAUUAAUAGGAUUUAAAACUGAACUAAGAGUGAUGAGUUCCAUUGUUGUUUAGUAAAUCAAUUAUUCAACUCUAUUAGCUGAAAAUUUAUUUUUGCAUUAAAUAUAUCACAAUGAUAAUAAUGCUCAACGGUAAUAUAAUCAUUAUGCUGACAAGAACGUCUUGUGCUCUUCAUACAACGAGCUUACAUAUCAGGCAUUUCUAUCUCAUUCUUUUAACAAAAUAAAAUUACAUCCUCAAUAAAAUUUCCCAACCAUUACCUCGCGGCCUUUGAAGGAGUUCUUUCUGUAGUUGAGACUAAGUGCACAUUAUUAAAAUGCCUUGAGGUUUCACUUGUAAUGUUUGACAAAGUAAAUCACUCACCCCUAAAUUUUUAUUUGAUAAAUGCAAAAUGAACAAAAGUUUAAAAGAUGUCAUUGAUUCACAUGCACCUUUAGCCUCUCCACAUGUGCCUUUAUUAGGCCCACACAUUACCAACUUCCUAAGAACGUUACGAACAACACGAAACAGAUCAAGCAACUUGAUAACAGAACAGAAAUGAGAGCGCUACGAAGUAGAUCCAGGUCGUUGCAAAGUAUGAAUCUGAUUGGCCCUUAUACCAGUUUGAACUUCUCCUAAAGCCAUGAAGUAUAUGACUUUGCCUUCCUAAAAAGAUUUUGAACUCAAGAAGACAUUUACCAGAUGAAGUCAGAAAAUUUACAAUUGAAACCAUUGCUAAAAAGAAAAGUCAUACAUCUGGCAUAUCAUUAGAUACUGCAACUAAAGCAAGUUAUAAUUGAUGUGUAAAACAAUGUGUAUAAUUUGCAUAUGGAUAGUUGUUGAGUGUAAAUUCAAAUGCUAUGUGUGUCAAUGUGCAAGUGUACACAACAAGUGAUAUAAUGAUAAGUAUUUAAGAUCAUCUCCCACAGGGAUUGAUGUUACGGAAAUUGCUACAGCAACCUUAACAGUUUUGCUUGAAUUAAAAGUAUAUUGAACAAUUAAAUAAUAUACUACCUAAUAAAAUGCAAAAAAUUAAAUAUGCAGAAAAGCAAACUCUCACGUCAAACACAAAGAUAAAAUCAAUAGAAAUGUAGUAGUUGAGUGAUUAAACUUUCUUAAUGGACUUGAUUGUUUCUUGCAAAAUUCAGUUUGGUUGCUGCAGCAUCUGCUAUAGCACUGGGCAGAAUCUUCAUGCAUCCUCAUGCUUGUUGGAUGUCUUAUAUCUAUAUGCAACUUAACAGUAAUCGAUUGUUAUGCCAACAUAAAAUAUAUCAUUACACGUUGAGGUUCUAUUUACCCUACAAGGUGAAUCCUUAUAUCUAGUUCAUCACUAAUUUUAGAUUAAGCAUGAUCCUUUUGGAAUCAAGUUAAACUCAAUCUAAAACCAAGUAUUGUUCUAAUAUGAUCCACUAAGACAGACCCUUUUGUGGCUCUUUCCUAACUUGUAUCAUUAAAUAUGUGGUCAGCCGAAAUAAUGAAUGUAAAUAAGUACUAUGACAACAAAAUGCUAUAGCAAACAUGCAACAACAUGUAAAUUCAGUCAAGGAGCCAUUAAGAUUAUUUUAUCACUCAACUACAAAUAAUAUUAGUUCAUAGUUUGCGAGAGGAUAGUAGACAACAAUGUUUCAGUCAAAAAAUAAAUACUCAUGUUAAAGAAUAAACAAGAAAUCAAAAGAAGAAUAAGAAAGAUUGAAUUCCAAUUGAUUCCAGCAAACUUCUCAACUGUUGCAACCUUGAUUCUUGCUCUUGAAUCUGUUUUUCCUUUGUUUCUUUUUGGGUUAGGAUCUUGGUUGACGGCUCCCUCUUUCUUUUGCAUGUGUGCCUCUUUUAUAGCUUGAAAUUAAGGUAAAUGAAGGUUAAGGACGUGCAUAUUUCAGAUUAGGAAACUGCAGAUCGCAAUCUAUUAAUUGCUUUGCGUACGAUUUUCUCUUCGUUGCUCCAGGAUUGCUAUAGCACUGGUUGUUAUAGCAAUGACUACAACAUCUCCAUUGUUCCAAAUUUGCUCCAAUUCUUCUAUAGCCAUAUUCUUUUGUCCUUUUUGUAAGCCCAUUGCUACAACAUCCUUCCCAUGAAAUUUUAACUUCCGAUUACCUACAAUUAUGCAUAUGUUUUUAAGCACACAAUUAUUUAAAAUCAAGCAAACUCUGUUAAACUUAAACUAAAAUGAAUGUUAAUGCAAACUAUCAUUAAAAAUGUACUAAAACACAUCAAUUACUCUCUAUUUAAUUUUGAUUUAAGCCUGAAAGUAUUAUGAUAACUCUCAUUUCAUAGAGUUAUCAAUAGUCUUUCAAAAAUAAUACUUGCAGUAACUAAAGCACGUUAUAAUUGAUGUGUAAAACAAUGUAUAUAAUAUGCAUAUGGACAGUCUUUCAAAAAUAAUGCUUGCAAUCUGUUCCAUGCACCCCUAUUGUUGCUAGCACUAUCAUACCCUUGGCCUUGGAUAAUUUCAACUAAAAAGCCAUAUCGACCAAGGAUAUUAUAUAUUUCUUUUUUCAAUGUUAUUGUUGUUGUUUCCAUGACAUUAACAACUUAAAAAACAUUCUCUAAUACACCCAUCACAAUCAACAUACCUUAAAAUGAUAGCCAUUUGUUCUUUGUCAGAUCCAUAAAGUGCUUCACCUCCUAAAAUACAAAACUUACCAUCUCCAAGUUCCUUAUAUAUCUUGUUUUGUACCUUGUUUCUAAGAAUAUUUAAAAGCCCCUUUUGAAUGUUAGAAGAUUUAUACUUAGCAUAUAAUGGAGCAUUUUCUAAGACAACUUCAGUAAUUUCUUUACUACACUCUGCUGAAUGCUUUAUCAACUUUGUGAAAUUUCCUUGAUUUAUUGAAUAAACUGAUUCAUCACCACCUCUAAAAGUGCAAGCUUGCUUUACUAACCAUCUAACAACAAUAAUUGAGGUCUUCAAUUGUAGCUUAUUCCCUAAAACUUGUCGUAAAUAUUGGGCCUUCAUUAAUCUAUCAAUGUGUUGAGUUGGGUUCCUAAGGCAGCCCUAACUUUGCAUAUUUUUAUUAUGAUGAGACAGUGGAUCCUUUAUGUUGUAAAAAUGGACUUUUUUUUUUCCAAAUUAUUGACUCACUUCCAACUUAAAAACCUCUAAUAAUGAAAGCAUGGAAAACAAAAUUCUUUAUCAUUUACCUUACCCACGCUAUGAAAUUUUUUUAAACCAAUGAUACUGAAAUAUUCAUUCUUGUAUGCCAUCAUUAGUCAGCAGAUAAUCUCUUAGUUUAGGCUAACACGAUCUCAUUUUGAUGUACUCCUUUCAAAUCAUCACGUUGAUUCACUGUAUAUGUCCUUAUUUGAUGACAUAUUUUAGGAUCACGUUCCAAAUAAGUAUCUUUAGUUUCUUCAACUUCAAUCCUUUGAGACUUAAAAGUAUGCAGCUCACUAGAAUCUAACGCAUUAAAUUGAGAUAGAGAUAGAGAUAGAGGCUUGGUGGAUGAUUGAUCAUCACCUACUCUCUUAAAAAAAGAAAGUAGAGUUUUUCUUGGUUUGUUUAAUAUUGAAUUUGUAAUAAUAAUACACUAGAGAAUUAUUAAUUAUUUUAUUAAAAAAUUAACAAAAACAUAAGCCAAAAAUUAAUUUGAAAAAAGUCAGUAAUCAACAAUCAAUUGUUUUACUAGUAUAUUCACUCAUUCUUUGUAUGCCAUCAUUAUUUUAUAAUUUUAAAAUGAUGAAUCAACAGCUCCACUUUGUAUGUUGUCAUUCUCAUUUAUCAUAUUAUAUUAAUCUAUUAUCAUAUUCUAUUAAUCUAUUAAUUUGUUAUUUUAUAACUUUAAAAAGAUGAAUUACCAGGUAGACUUCCACUUUAUAUAGUAUUCUAUAAGUUAAGAUUUGAAUUACAAAAUGACUCAUACCAGGCGGUGCAUCAAGAACAAAGACUAGGCAUUCGUGACUUGGAGUACGGUGAGGGACUGAGCAUGCGUGCAGGCUGUGUGGCAGUGGCUGGGUGACAACUCUAUGAAAUAAGAAUAUUAAGUCCAUUAUUUGUAGAGUUGGCAUCUUAUGGCAAGUCUAGUUAAAUUGAAAUUUUAUUUAUUGCAUAUCUUGUAAUAGGGAUUAAUUUAUUAAUUUCCUAAUUUAGUGAGAUUUCAAUUUAUUAGGAAUAUUUGUUCCCUAAUUUAAUUAGAUGUCUAAAUUGACAAGUCAAUUAAUGAUGAGAUUUUAUAAUUGGCGCAUGAGAUCUAUUUUGAGCAAGAAGUUAGUUCAAACAGGAAGUUUAUUAAAUGCUCUAGAUAUUUCUUGGUAGACAAAUAAGGCAAAAAGAUCAGAUUUAUUCCUAUUCAGAUUCAUAGGAAUUAUAAGAGGAAAGAAACUCUUAUUUGGAAAGUAUCCAAGUCUUUUAAAACUUGCUAUUUUUGUGGAGCCCUAGAGCCUUUAUAAAGAGGGGUGUUUCGCAAUUAAAGGUACACACAACAAAGAGCAUAAAGCAGAUAAGCAAAAUUCGGUCUCCUUCCUAGAGAAUCUGGAUUUGGCACAUAAUGUUGUGUUGAUUUAUUUACCUAUCUUCUUUUCAUCUCUGUGGAGAGUCUAUAUGGAUCUUAGAUCACUAGACAUUGAAGAAGUGAAGAAUUGCUAUUGAUCACUUUGCAAAGUGCCUUGAGGAUCAUGGAUCAAGAGGGAUAGUAAUUAUUCAAGAGAAGGAGAUUCAGUUUGAGGUUAAGUAAACUGUAUGGUGAUAAAAUGUAGGUGAGAGUCUUAAGUCUGGUAAAUCCAUAAGUUGUAACAUCUUAACUUAGUGAAUUACUUUUCAUCUAGGCGCAACCUCGUGGAUGUAGGAUUGAUUAAUCUGAACCACGUAAAAAUUUCUGUGUUAUUUAUUUUUUGUAAUUUAUUGUGUUUUUGGAAAAUUAAUAUUUUUUAUGCGAACGAACAGUAACAAUGAACAAUAUUUCUGAAAAUUAAUUAAGUUGUUAAUUUUAGGUUUUUAAUUGCCUACAUCUAUUUGCGAUAGAUCUAAAUUUCUUUCGAUUGGUAUCAGAGCAGGACACUAACUGUUUAUUUGGUGAGAUUCUUGGAAUCUAGAUCUAUUUUAUAGGUAUAAGUUUGCAAAGAGAGGGAGGCUCUUUAGCUCGUCCACCUGUACUAGAUGGGACAAAUUAUGCUUAUUGGAAGAAAAUGAUGGAAAUUUAUCUGACAGCUAUUGAUGAAAGAGUUUGGUAAUGCGUACUCACAGGAUAUACUCCACUUAUCAAAAUUGAUGGAGAUGGUGUAGAAUCUCCCAAGCCAGUCAAAGAAUAGACUAAUGAUGAACUUGAUGCAUCUAAAUAUAAUGCAAAAUGACUUAAUGCCAUUUUUAAUGGAGUUGAUUUGUUUCAACACCAAUUAAUUUCUACAUGCAAGACAUCUAAAGCUGCAUAGGAUAUACUCCAAAAUACUUUUGAAGGUGACAAUACUGUAGAACCUUUUAAACUUCAGAAACUUACAUCUGAUUUUGAAAACCUGAAAAUGCACGAACAUGAAACCAUAUCUGAAUUUAAUUCUAGAAUCCUUCCUAUGGUUAAUGAUUUUUUUGCUCUUGGAAAACCUAUUUAUGAGGAAUAAAUUUGUAGAAAAAUCUUAAAAUUUGCCCAUCCUAGAUAUCAUCCUAAAAUUUUGGCCAUUGAAGAAUAUGCUGAUAUGUUUGCUAUGACUAGGGGUUCACUUAUAGAAAAUUUGAUAGUCUAUGAGAUUAACUACUUGAAUUUGAAUCCCAAGAAAGAACAAGGUAUUACUUUUCAAGUUGAAACAGAGGCUCUCAUCACUAAAUCAAGGAAGAUGAUGAUCCAUAUUUGUACGUGGAUAAUUCAUUUACACUUAUUGCAAAGAAUUUCAAGAAGAUGUUGAAAAACAAGAAUUUUAACAAACCAAAGAAGACUUCUACAUCAGUGGCUCUUAUGACUUAAAAAGGUUCUUCUAACUCUAAUUCUAAAUUGUUUGAUUUUAACAAACUUGAGGAUAUUCGAUGCAGAGAAUGUGGAGGCAUAUGAUACAUACAAGCACAAUGUGCUAACUCUCUUAUGAAAAACAAAGCAAUGCAAUCCACUUGGAGUGAUGAUGAUUAUAAGGAUAGCAUUGAUGAAGAAGAUUUUGUUAGAGGACUUGUUGUCCAUAAUGAUGAUUAUAAGGAUAGCUCCUUGCAAGGAAGACAUUGAUUCCCGUCUUGGCACAACUGUGCAACAUAUUAACAAGAAUAAUGAUUCAGAUAACGACGUUAGUGACAUUGAUAUAACUAACAAGAAGGCUUUUCAUAAAAGCUACAAGAUGAUGUUCACUAAAUGGGAAGAAGUCUGCAAUGAGAAUGUGACCUUGAUGACUCAAGUAUCCAAUCUUUUGGACGAUAAGACGAAACUUGAAAGUAAGGUAAUUCAUUACUAGUCUUUAUUUGUUGACAAAGAUAAUCAAUUACUUACAGUGACCACAUAAUUAGAGAACACCAGAAAGUCACUCAAAAUGAUGAAUUCUAGAACUCAAAAGUUAGAUCAUAUCUUGUUAAUUGGCAAGUCCAUCUCAAAUCAUCAUGGUCUUGGAUAUCAAGAUGGUCAAGACUCAAAUUCUCAAGGUGUGUUUGUUAAAGCUUCUUAAGUUAUAGCUUCUCCACCAAUAGUUAAAGUUUCAUAUAUUUUAAAAAGUAAAGAUGUUGCACAUUCUUCACCAGUUCAUCAAGGUAAGAACAACAAGUUUAUUCCCACUUGUCAUUUUUGUCAUGUGAAAGGACAUAUAAGAUCUAAUUGCUUCAAGCUCAUUAAAUAUAUGAAAAAGGCUAUGUCAUUUAAUUAUUCUUAUGGAAAACCUAGGAUGACACCUAAACCUAAGGUUGAGACAAGUAAAAAUAAACCUAGAACUACUUGGAUGAGGAAGACUGAUUAUAAAGCUUAUGUUUCAUUUAUUUCAUUGAGAACUUUCACUACUGAUUUUUGGUACUUUGAUAGUAGUUGUUCUAGACACAUGAUAGGUGAUAGAAGUGCCUUGAUAAAUUAUUAAAAAGUUGAUCGAGAAAAUGUAACUUUUGCUGAUGGUGUGAAAAGUUAAGUGCUUGGAAAUGGAACUUUGAAUGUGGGAGGUUUUCAAAAACUUGACAAUGUUCUGCAUGUAGAGGAUCUCAAAGCAAAUUUACUUAGUAUUAGUCAAUUUUGUGAUAAAAAAUUAUUUUUCAACUUUGACAGGAACAAAUGUUGCUUUUUCGAUGUUGAUAGAAAUUGCAUUUUGGAAGGACAUUGAUCAUCUAAUCAUUGUUAUAAAUUGACUAGCUUAAUUAUUUGUCAUAAGACCACUUUUGAUGACACAGAAUUAUGGCAUCAAAAGUUGGGUCAUUUCAACUAUAGAUUAUUGACUAGAAUUGUGAAAACAAGUGUUGUAAAAGGUGUUCCAAUGCUUAAAAAGAAACAACAUGGAAUAUGUAGUUCAUGUCAAUUUGGAAAACAACAAAGGGUGUCUCAUAAAGACAUUCAGGAUAGAGUAACAUCAAAGGUGCUACAACUACUUCAUAUGGGCCUUAUGGGACCAAUGCAGGUUGAAAGUUUGGCUGGAAAAAGGUGCGCAUUUGUGUGUGCAAAUGAUUUCUCUAGGUAUACAUGGGUUGACUUUGAUGAAACCUUUGCAUCUGUUGCUAGACUCAAAUCUAUUCAUUUGCUUUUUGUAGUUACUUGUUUAAUAGUCUUUAAAUUAUUUCAAAUGGAUGUCAAAAGUGCCUUUUUGAAUGACAUCUUAAAUGAAGAAGCCUAUGUUGAACAACCUAAAGGUUUUGAAGACCCCUAUUUCCCAAACCAUGUUUUUAAAUUGAAAAAGGCUUUGUAGUUGUUCACGUAAGGCAACUACAUUGAAGACCCCUAGAGAAUCCGAAUUUGGCAAAUAAUAUUGUGUUGAUUUAUUUACUUAUCUUCUUUUCAUCUUUGUGGAGAGUUUAUGUGGAUUUUAGAUCACUAGACAUUGAAGAAUUGAAGAGUUACUAUUGAUCACUUUGCGAAGUGCCUUGAGGAUCGUGGAUCAAGAGGGAUAGCAAUUAUUCAAGAGAAGCAAAUUUAGUCUAAGGUUGAGUAAACUUUAAGUGAUAAACUGUAGGUGAAAGUCUUAAGUUUGGUAAAUCCAUUAGUUGUAAUAUCUCAACUUAGUAAAUUACUUUUCAUCUGGCCGUGGCCUCGUGGAUGUAGGAUUAAUUAAUCCGAACCACGUAACCACGUAAAAAUCUCUGUGUCAUUUAUUUUUUGCAAUUUAUUGUGUUUUUGGAAAAUAAAUAUUUUUUAUGCGGAUGAAGAGUAAUUGUGAACAGUAACAGUGGACAGUAUUAUGAAAAUUAAUUAAGUUGUUAAUUUUAGGUUUUUAAUUGCCUACAUCUAUUUGCGAUAGAUUUAAAUUCCUUUCAGAGAGUUAUCAUGGUACUUUUUGACUUAAAUCAAUAAUACUUGGCGAGUAAAUGAUGUGCUUUUAUUGCAUUUUAGUUACAAUUUGCAUUAAUAAAUUGAGUUGUUAUAGAAUAAUUUGUGCUUAGAUUAUAUGCAUAAUUGUAGGUAACUGAAAGCUCAAGAAUUAGGGAAGGAAUGCUGCUACAAUAGACUUGCAAAGGCAAUGAAAGAACUUGACUAUAGAGGAAUUGAAACAAGUGUGGUACAAUACAUAUAUUGUAGCAAUUGCUGUAGCAAUCUUGAAGUAAUGACAAAUUAGAUUUUAUGCGCAACAAUUAAAAGAUUGCAAUCUAAAGUUUCCAAAAAUGGAGGAUAUGCGUCACAUACUUUCGUUUGCCCUAAUUCUGAGUUAUAAAAGAGCACACAUGAAAAGAAAAAAGGGAGGGCUGUCACAUAAGGAGAAUACCAAACAGAAAUAACAAGAAUACAUAAAUUAAGAGAUAGUUUUGAGGGUUGUAAUAGCAGAUUCAAGGAGGAAACAAAGGCGAAAUCACAAAGACCAAGUAGACUUCAGUUUUUUUUUUUUUUCUAUAUACUUCUCGGGAUGUAUUUGAUGGCUAUAACAAUUUCAUUUGUUGUUCUGUCAUAAAUUAUGAACUGAAUUUGAUUUGGUUAAGUGAUAAAUGAUCUUAAUGGAUAUUUGACUAAUAUACGCUUGUUGCUCUGUGUUUACAAUAGCAUUUUAUCUUAAUUAUUUUUAUUUCAAUUCCUUAUUUCAGUUGAUCACUCAUUUAGAGAAUAUUAGCUAAGAAAGAGCCUAAAAAAGGUCUGAUUUAGUGGAUCAAAUUAAGACAAUACUUGGUUUUAGAUUGUGUUUUCCAAGUUGAGUGAAUCUCAAUUUAAAUAGGGUCAUUCUUGAUCUAAAAUUAGUGAAGAACUAAAUAUAGGAAUUUCACCUUGUAGGGUAAUUAAAACCUAGAACAUAUAAUGUUAUAUCAAAUGUUAGCAUGACAAUUGGUCACUGUUAGGUUGCAUUAGAUGUAAGUUAUCCAACAGGCGACAACUAAGGAUGCAUGGGGGAUUCUGCCCAGUACUGUAGUAGAUGUUGUAGCAAAGGUACUGUAAUUGAAAAAUAGUCAAAGCCAUUAAGUGAGUUUACUCACUUAACUACUCUAUUUCCAUUGGUUACAUCAGUGUGUUUGACGUGAGAAUUUUUUUAAUUGCAUUUUAGUUUGAUUAGUUCGUUAGUUUUAUAAAUUGUCUUAUUUUAAUUUAAAACAAAUUUGCACUGUUAAGAUUAUUGUAGCAAAUCUGAUAACAUCAAUUCCCUGGAGAAGAUCUAAAUACUCAUCAGUAUAUUACUUAUUGUGUACUCUUGCACAUUGAUAUCCAUAACACUAGAGAUCACCCAACACUAGGCGUCAGUCAUGAUGUAGUAGCUUGAUGACUUGAACAAUUGAGUUUUGGGGAAUUUAGAUUUUGGGUUCAGUUGGUAGUGAGUUUUGUGAUUUGGGGAAAAUAGAAAUUGACUAUAAUUAUUUAGUUUAUUUUCAUUUUUUCUAUAAAUUUUAAUAAAGGAAAAUUUAUUUUUAUUUUUUCAAGUAAAUAAAUAUGACUUGUUGUGUACUCUUUCACAUUGACAUUCAUAGCAAUAGAAAUCACCUAACACUAGGCGUCAGUCAUGAGGCAAUAGCUUGAUGACUUGAACAAUUAAGUUUUGGGGAAUUUAGAUUUUGGGUUUAGUUGGUAGUGAGUUUUGUGAUUUGGGGAAAAUAGAAAUUGUCUAUAAUUAUUAAGUUUAUUUUUAUUUUUCUAUAAAUUUUAAUAAAGGCAAAUUUAUAAAUAAAUAAUUUUUUUUUUCAAAAAAAUUUACCCUAAUUACAUCGUAGGUUAGCCCACUCUUACAUUCGCCCUUGAAUACAAUAUUGAUGAAAAGAAAUGGAAACAUUUUGUUAGCCUAAGUAGAAUAAAAAAUAAAUAAGUAUUAAUUCCCUGAUUUACAUGAGUCUUCCAAAGGUGAAAUAGUAAUCUCAAGAUUGUAUUUCUUUUGAUUUUCGAUAAUUAUCUAUAAUAGCAUGCUUGUACUAUUUUACAGAUGGUUGUUGAUUAUGCAUUCCUCUUUUUAUUUUUCCUUUUAAUCUUUGUUCUGAAGUUCCAUUCACAUAUGAAAGGAAGUGGAUAAAAUUUGACUAGAAAACUAACAUGCAAUGGUGCAAAUAGGUUGUCACGUAAGGCAUAGGAUCAUAAUUAAAUAGAUCAGGCAUCAUGUUAAAGAAAUUGGGAUAUUGUAUGCUUGUUAAAGAAGUUUUAGAGCCUCAUGUUACAUCUAAGCAUCUUAUACGUUAGCUUUUUUAUUCUAAAUUUUUUUAUACAAUUGCUAUGCCAAUUUGGUGCUACAGUGUUUAACCCGCACAAAGCCUCUUAUUAUCUGGUUGAUUUGAAGAUCACAUUCAAGUGGUUAUAUGUAGUUAUGUCUGCUCGUUUCCCUUCAUUGAGAUUUUUCAAUUAUUGAUAGUAGUGUACUUGUCAUGAAAAUGGACAUACCUAUUAUUUGAAUAGUAGGCUAAAAGAGAUUGGUGUCUCAUAUGUCAAAACAAAAUAUUGAAAUCUAGCAAAGGAGGAGAGGAUCUUUUAUUGGAACAUCUCAAACACUUGUUCUAAUUGGAUUAAAAUUGACAGUAUACAUCAUUGAGUAACAAAAGAGCAAAAGAUAAAGAUAAAUAAUAUGAACCAUUCCUCUCUAAAUCGACCACUAAAUACCGCUAAAUUAUUUAAUUCGAUAAGAAGAAGCUCUUCAACAACGUUGUUGAGGAGAACCAGGCUGGGUUUGUGUUUGAAGGGGUUUUUGGUCGACGAUAACGGGUCGGUGUUGGCGACUCAAAAGGUGAACUCUUUGUAAGACGUUUUUUCACUGCUCUUUAAGUUUCUUUUAAGUGGAGUUUUUUUUUUAAUUUUUGGUUGAUGUGCGUCUGUUCUGGCUGUGGUAUUUUGUUUGGUUUCCAAGAAAAGAAAUUUUGACAAAUUGCAACAGUGCCUGAAGCGGAGGACCAGUUGUUGAUCAUAAGUUGUUGCUACUAUCCUUAAUCCUAUCGAGGGAAAGAGAAGGCAAGGAAGUUUCAGGCCACUGAUUCUCCUCCAUCGUAUUUGGAUUCUUGUUAAUUCCACCAAGUAAGCCUAUGUUUGGUAUGUUUGUUUGUUUGCUACAAAUAAUUUCAACAUAUAAUUUAAUAGAAUUUUUUUAUGUCACUUGGGUUAAUGAAUAAAUAGAAACUGAAAAUUUGGUGCGGUGCAGAGGUUCGGACAAAAUUGAUAAUGUUUUUGUUAUGGAUUACGAUUCAAAUUACUAUUAUUUUUAUUAUUAGUAUUUGUUAAUGUUGUUGUCUCUGGUCUUCUUGCUUGUGUUCUACCAACGUUUUAUUUUAGUAAAGUUGUUAAGCACGGUACUGAUUUGUUAAUUGGUUCAUAAAUACUGUAGAGGUUCUAUGGCUUGUUAUAUUAAUGUGUUUAUUGUGAAAUUUAUAUAUUUUGAACAAGUAAAGAUAUUUUUUAAGCAUGAUGCCUUAUCAUUUAUUUAUUUCUAAAUUGGAAUGGAGCAGAUCCUGAAUCUUGAUAUGUGUUGGGUUUAGAAAAUGGGAAAAUUAUAGCAAGUUUGCACACGAUUUGCUCUCAAAUGGGCAGAUAAACAAAUGUGUGGUGGAUCAUGGAUGGAUGUAUGGAUGGGCAUAAUGAAUAAAUGAAAAUAUAAAUCAGACACAAGCAAAUAAAUUAGGUGUAAGGGACCACAAUUUUGAAACUGGAACUGGAUUUUUGUCUUAAAUAUAAUUGAAGUGACAGAGAAUUAUGUGAAGUUGCAGAAAAAUUUUGGGUUUGAUAUGCUUUUGUUUAUGGGUAAAUUGUUUGGUGUAUUUGGACUGAUUUGUUGCUGUUUUUGGGUUAAAUUUUUUGGUAAAUUUUCUAGUGUUUUGCGCUUCAUUUGCUGUUGUUUUUGGGUUAAAUUUUUUGUUAUUUCUGGGUAAAUUUUUCUAAUGUUUUGGGCUUUAUUUGCUGCUGUUUUUAGGUUAAUUUUUUUUUAUAAAUUUGCUGCUGGUUUUUAGUUAAAUUUUUUGCUAUUUCUAGAUAAAUUUACUGUUAUUUUUGGGUUAAAUUUUCUGUUGCUUUUUGGUAAAUUUUUUGGUGUUUUGGGCUUCAUUUGCUGUUGUUUUUGGUUAAAUUUUCUGAUGUUUCAGGGAAAAUUUGUUGUUUUUUUUAGUUAAAUAAUUUGUGUUUUUGGAUGAAUUUACUACUAUUUUUGGGUUAAAUUUGUUGGUGUUUCCAGGUAAAUUUGCUGUUGUUUUUGUGUAUGGAGUUGGUGGGAAAAUGGUCAUGAUGCAUUUUGAAUGGGGAAUGAUGGGGACUGGUAGUAAAAGUUGCUUGUGUUGUUCCUGCUACUACUUGUUCCAUUUGAGCUUUUAAAAUCCAUUAAGUGUAGAGGGGAAGAAUAUAGAGAUAAUGAGAAACACAAACUGUUUGUGAGCUUUAGAUUGAUGUACCAAGCCAACAGUCAUAUUGCAAAACAUCUAAAUAUAUGAUUUUUUUAGUUUGUUAAUUUUAUUUUAUUUUUAGGAUUAUAACUAAUGCUGUAAAUGGUUAUUGUUUGUCAAUGUUCUAGAAGCACAUACUAGUUUGACUUUCUAGGAUAGGUGUUCCUAAUUCUUGCUUGGGCAAUUGAAUUUUGGAUUGAAAUAUUUAUUUGUAAAAUAUAUUUACUGGACCUAAAACUUGUGCUCUUUGACAUUUCUUUUUGUGCCUGAUAUCUUCAUGUACAGGUUCAAAAUGGCUGAAAAUGUAGAUUAGGGUAACAAGAAUGAUUUCAAGGAGAAUGACAACGUGAACCAGGAAAAUGAAAUUUUAAGAAAAAAUCAGUCUUUCAUUGAGUAUUUGUAAGUCUUCUUUCAUUAAAUAUUAUGUGUUUUAUUGUUGUUAAAUUUAUUAAUAUUUAGUCAAGUCGAGCAUAAUAAUGUGACAAUGCACUAAUUGUAAUUUUUUCAAAACAUUUAAUUAUCUGCAGCAAGUAAGAAGCAAAAAUACUACGAGAACAAGGAAAACAAUUGGUGAGUGCAGAUACGAUAUCAAUUAAUUUCCAUUAAAUUUGGGACAUGUUUCAAGCAAUAACUUAUUGUUAUAUUUUUUUAGGAUAUAAUUAAAUUAGGGAAAUGUUUCAAAAAUUUGAGUGAAGAAGAGUAGGCUAAUUAACUUACCUCACGCGAUGUGCGCCAAACCGAUCUGCAAAGUUUCAGGGUUAAAACCAACAAAUGCUUUUGGUGCUCUUCUUGGCUUCUUCCACAAUCUUACCAUCACCAGAAUCUGAACAACAAUCUGGAUGCCAUCUCUAUAUUCCUAGCGAUCUAGAUUUCGAUCAAUGAUUUCACGGUUCACAUGCCAGCAGAUUCAGGUACAGAUUUGGUGGAUCUUGGCUUUAAAUUUUGGAGAAUUGAGAAAGAAAUUCAUAUUUGCGAAUAAAGAUUAAAGACCGUGCUUUUUGUUUUGAUUUUUUUUCCCUUUUAUAGUGGCUUUGAGACUUGAUGAAUUUUUUUUUUUUUACCGCCUUUUACUUUAAAAAAAAGAAAAGAAAGAUAGUAUAGAAAAAGGUAACGACAAUGUCAUUUUAGUUAAUUUUUAUUUUGAACUUUUUUGCAUUUAAUGGCGCCAUAAUUAUUAUAAUAUUGAAUUUUUUAUUUUAAAUUUUUUUAAUUGUAGUAGAGUCAUAAUUGUUAUAACAUUAUUUUUUAAUUAAUUUAAAGAUGAAAUUAAUAAAUUUUUGACUUUAUUAAUAUGUGUGUGUACAAACUAAUAUCGCAUAAAAAUUUAUAUAAAAUUAUCAUGGACCCACAUAAUUAAAAAAAUUAAAAUUAAAACAUAUUAACGAACUCAAUAUGUUAAUAUCAUUUUAAUCUCAUACUAGGGGUAGCAAACUCAAUCCAACCCUAUUUAAUUUCGAUAAAACUGAUGGUGUGUUUACUUACCAAUACUGUGAAUGCGAAUUAUGGAAUCAGAAUUAAUGACGCGUUUACAUGCAAAAUUAAGGAUUGGACUCGAAAUUGAAAUAGUGUUAGGCCCACAAAUUUGGGAAUCCUUACCAGAGCUUUAAUUCCCAAGUAGGGCUUGAAAAUAGGGAUGGCAAUGAAGCGGAUAUGGAUUGGAUCUACAUUGCUCCAAAUCUAGAUCCGUAAUAAAAAUUAAGAUCCGUAUCUGCUCCAGAUCCGUUAUGGAUCUAUAUUUUUCGCUCCAUAUCUAGAUCCGAAAAAAAAAAUAAAGAUCUAUAUCUGCUACAAAUCCAAAUUGAAAAAUUAAAAUCCAAAUCUGCUCUAGAUCCAUCAUGAAUUCUAAAUCUCAAUAAUAAGAGAUCAAUUUUUUUUAGAAAGAAAUUUUAAGACUAAAAUGCAUUGGUAACAAUUAAAUUAUAUAAUUUGUACAAAAAAUCUAAUAAGUAUUGUAGCUUCUACUUUUACACCAAAAUAAACAAAUAAGAAAGAUAAUAAAAUAUCGAUAAAAAAUAAUUGCAUGAAUAAGAUCAUUAUAAUAUUCUAAUGUCUCAUUUACUAUUUUGAUAUCCACUGCACACCAUCAUCAUUCCUAUAUCAUUAAAUAAUAACAUAUAAGUUAAAAAUGAUUUAUUAUAUUCAGUGCUUUAUUAUUUUUAUUAUGAUCAUAUUUAACUAAAUAUAUGAUUAACAUAAUUAUUUUAUAGUUGAUAGCCACCAUUGAUUAGUGAUUAUACAAAAUAAAUAAGAUUAUGAGAAAAUGAUAGAAAAAUAAACUCAAGUCUAUGGAUUUUCCUAACAAUUAAGGAACUAAUCCAAGCAUUCAAAUGAAGUGGAGAAGCGAGAGUAGACUAAAGAGGAAAAAAUAGACUAAAUUGUAGAGUGAAAAACUUAAAAAAAUUAGGGCAUAUUAUCCUAAUUUUAUUUUACACUUGAUAAAUUUUUGUCUUAUUAUCAAUUAAGUACCUUUAAGUUUUAAGAUUCUUAAAUACAUGCUAAUGAAUAAAUUUUAUCAUCAUUUAUAAAUUUAUCAUAAUUUAUAAUUACAUAAUUGUUAAGAAUUUUUUAAAAUAAAAUUACAUUAAAUGGUGAGUGGAUAUGGAUUUGGAUAUAGAUAUUAAGAUAAAUCCGAAUUUUCUCCAAAUCCGCCUUAGAUCCACGCAUCGAUAUCCAAAUCCAUUUUAAUCCGACCCAAAUCCGAUCCAAUUGGAUUUGGAUCACAUGGAUCUUGGGUCAGAUCCGAUCCAUUGCCAUCCUUACUUGAAAAUCAUAACUCCAUUUUUGGAAAUGACUUUUUUACCCCCAACUAAACUUCAUAAUAUCCAUUUUAUCCUUUAUUUAAAUAAUAAUUAAAAAUUAAAAAUAAUGAAAAUAAUAAUAAUAAAAUUAAUAAAUUAUAACUAUAAAAAUAUUUUAAUAAAUAAUAAUAAUAACUUAUUAUUAUAAUAAUUAUAAUAAAUUUUAAUUAUAUAAUAUUUCAUAAAUAAUAAUAAUAAUAAUAAUAAUAAUAUAAUAAUGAAAAUAAUAUUAAUAAUUAAAUAAUAGUAAUAAUUAAAAUAGUAUUUAAUAAAUAAUAAUAAUAACUUAUAACAACAACAACUUAUUAUUAUAAUAAUAAUAAUUAUAAAUUUUAAUUAUAAUAAUAUCUUCAUAAAUAAUAAUAAAAUAAUUUCAUAAUAAUAAUAAUAAAAAUAAAAUUACAAUUAUAAUAAUAUUUUUACUAAAAUAAUAACAACAACAACAACAACUUGUUAUUAUAUUAAGAAUUGUUAUAAAUUUUCAUUACAAUAAUAUUUUCUUAAAUAAUAAUAAUAUAAUAAAAUAAUGAAAUUAAUAAAUAAUAAUAAUAAUAAUAAUGAAUUAAUAAUAAUAUUUUAAUAAAUAAUAAUAUUAUUUUUUAUUAAUGUCAUUAUUAUUUAUUAAAAUAUAAUAAUCAUAAUAAUAAUAAUAAUAAUAACAAUUAUUAUUAUUAUUAUUAUUAUUAUUAUUAUUAUUAUUAUUAUUAUGAUAAGUUGUUACUAGUACUACUACUAUAAUUUUAUUUAUUUUAUUUUUAUUAUCAUCAUCGUCAUCAUCAAUUGACAUAUCAACAAAGGGCAUUUUAGUAAAUUAUGUUUGUUAAUUCCAAUUCCAAAAUAAAGUAGACACAUCAAUAGAAAUGAAUCUCAUUUCGACUCCAAUUCCUAUAACUCAAGUAAAUAACUUAGGAGCCGUUUGUUUUUUUUAACUUAAUGACUUAAUUAACUUAAUUUUAAUAAGUUAAGUCAUAAAAUUUGUUUUUUUUCAACUUAAAGAAAAUUUUCAACCAUUAAAUCAUUAAGUUAUUAAGCUAAUUUCUUUAGCUUUUUACUUAAUCUAAAAUGUCUGAAUAAUAUCAUUAAAAAAUAUUUUCCAAAAUUUCCCUAUCUAAUUAAUUAAUUUUCAUCUUUGCCUAAAUAAAACUUAAUAAUUAGCAUUAAUACCCAUCUCUAUAUAACUUAUGAUAAUAUAUAGUGAUAGAGUAUUAUUAUUUUUAUCUUUUUAUUCCUUAAAAUUAGCAUUAUUUAUCUUCAUAAUAUUUUACAAAAAUUUUCAUAUAAAGACAUCAAAAACCAUAAUAAAAUUCAUUAACUUAUAUGAUAUAGAAUAUUAGAGUUGUGUCCAAUUGAAUAAUGAUUUAUGUUAUGAUAACUUAUUAUCUUAUUUAUAUCAUUUGAGAUGUUUAUUAUUUGUUUAACGUUUAUAAUUUGUAAGGGCAUAAAUGUAAAAAUAUUAGUUUUCAUAUUUUUAAAUUAAAAAAACUUAAUAUUUAUUUUUAGUGAUUCAGACAAAAAAUCAAACAUACCAUUCAUAUUUAGGUAUUCAGCUCUAUUCAGAAUUCGGACUAAUUCAGGUCCAGAUUUCAAAUAAAAAAAAAAAAGCCAGCUUAUUCUGACAUUCUUGAUUCCAAUUCUAGCCCAUUUCAAUUAUUGAUUAGUAAAUGCACCACGAGCAGAUUAUUGUGGUUUAAUUGGAUUUGAUUUUUUCAAACCUAAUUAACAAUUACUUUGGGUUGAAUUAAUUAUAAUUAACUAGUCUAAGCCAACCAAAUCCACAAUAAUAAUAAUAAUAAUAAUAAUAAAACAACUAAUAAGGAUAAUGAUAAUUUGUUAAUUCUCAAUUGUAAAAUUAUAAAGACUUAAACGGCUAAUUUAAUUUUUAAUUCUUUUAAUUCUUUUAAUAGAAGAGGCUAUUUCAUUCUUGUAUCUUCUACUCUAGACUAUAAUUCCAUAUCCGAAAUCACUCUGUCAUAUAAGUAAAUUUAUUAUCUUAUAAGAUUAAUUUUAAAAGUAAAAUGGUUUCAAUUUGUUUUUAUUUUUUAGUGAACACUUAACGGAACAUAAUUAUAUAUCACUUUCAUUUUAUUCUUGGACAUAAUGCUAGCUAAUUAUUUAAAAGGUCUGAUUUUGGAAUGUGAAAAGGAGAUGCAGGACAAAUAUCUAGUUGCUUAUUGUGGAAAUUUUCUUAAUUUAAAGAUAGUUAUUUUAGCUUUCUUUAUCGUACACUAGACAGUGAAUGAAAUUUUCAUGUUCUAAAAUAUUUAUAUUUGAUUUUAAUAAGUUUCAUUUCAAGUUUCAUAUAAUGUUCUUUGUUCAAUUUAAAAUUUUGAUUUGGCCUUCAACCUAAUCAACUCAACCAAAUGAUUUAAGGUUUGGGCAGAAUUGGGUUAGAAAAGUUUAUUUAAUUAGGUUAUAUGGAUUUUAUCUCAACUCAUUAAACAGUAGCAGGUUAGACCUAACUCAUGCCCGCCCUUAUAUCAUACUAUCUAAAAGCGUAAAAUGCACAAGUAGAUUUUCAAAGACUUUCAAAAGGAUGCCAAUAAUCCAACUCUUCAACCAUUUUCACAUUAGAUUUAAGUUGAGGCAGCCGACCGAAACUAAAUAAUCUAAAUUCAAGCUAAUGUGAAAUAAGACAAAAAAUUUAUGAACCACAUAUUUGACUCGUAAAUUGAAGGCAAAAGGUGUAAAUUAGUGUUGGAGUGGUAAAUUGGUCUUCGAAAUUAUUAAAAAAAUAAAAAAUAGGAAAAUGACAUAGAACCUGUAAAUUGACAUUAAAUGUGAAAUGAAACAAAAAAUAUUUUAAAUCACACAUAAAGUUAGUAAAUUGAUGGAAAAGAGGGUAAAUUAAUGAUGGAGUGUUAAAUUAGAAGAAAAAAUUAAAAACAAAACAAAAACAUAGAAAAAUGAUAUAAAACUUGUAAAUUGACAUUAAGUAUAAAAUGAAACAAAACAAGUGUAAGCCGCACAAAAGACUAGUAAAUCGAUGAGAAAUUGAGUAAAUUAAUGUUGGAGUGGUAAAUUGAUAUUCAGAAUUAUAAACAAGACAAAAACUAGGAAAAUUAAUGUUAUAGUUGUAAAUUGUAAGAAGAACUUGUAAACAAAACAAAAAUUUAGAAAAAUGACAUAAAACUUGUAAAUUGACAUUAGGUCAAAAAUAAAAUAAAAAUGUGUAAACUACACAUAAGACUAGUAAAUUGAUGGAAAAUGAGAUAAAUUAAUAUUAAAGUUGUAAAUUCUAAGAAAAAAAUUGUUAACAAAAAAAAAAACUUAGAAAAAUGAAAUUAAACUUGUAAAUUGACAUUAAGUCUAAAAGAAAACAAAAAAAAUGUGUAAAUCACAUAUAAAACUAGUAAAUUAAUGAAAAGAGAGUAAAUUAAUGUUGGAGUAGUAAAUUACUAUAAGAAAUUGUAAAUAAAAUAAAAACCUAGAAAAGUGACAUAAAACUUGUAAAUUGACAUUAAGUCUAAAAUAAAGCGAAAAAUGUUUAAACUACACGUAAGACUAGUAAAUUGAUGGAAAAUGAGGUAAAUUAAUAAUAGAGUUGUAAAUUACAAGAAAAAAUUGUAAACAAAACAAAAACUUAGAAAAAAGAUAUAAAAUUUAUAAAUUGACAUUAAGUCUAAAAUAAAACAAAAAAUAUGUAAACCACACAUAAAACUAGUAAAUUGAUGGAAAAGAGAGUAAAUUAAUGUUGGAGUAGUAAAUUACAAGAAGAAAUUGUAAAUAAAGUAAAAACUUAGAAAAAUGACAUAAAAUUUAUAAAUUGACAUUAAGUCUAAAAUAAAAUAAAAAAUAUGUAAACUACACGAAAGACUAAUAAAUUAAUAGAAAAUGGGGUAAAUUAAUGUUAGAGUUGUAAAUUACAAGAAAAUAUUGUAAACAAAACAAAAACUUAGCAAAAUGAUAUAAAACUUGUAAAUUGACAUUAAAUCUAAAAUAAAAUAAUAAAAUGGGUAAACGAUAUAUAAAACUAGUAAAUUGAUGGAAAAUUAGGUAAUUAAUGUUGAAGUAGUAAACUAGUCUUCAAAAUUAUAAAUAACACAAAAGCUUGUAAAUAUCGCAUAAAACUUUUAAAUCAACAUUAAGUGGCAAAUAACACAUUAAUCUUGUAAAUCACACACAAGGACUAGUAAAUUGAAGGAAGAAGUGGUAAAUUAAUAUUGGAGUUGUAAAUUGCUCUUUGGAAUUGUAAACAAAACAAAAACUUUGAAAAAUGAAAUAAAUCUUGUAAAUUACCAUUAAGUGUGAAAUGAAAUAAAAAUUUUGUAAACCACACAUAAAAUUAGUAAAUUGAUGAAAAAGAGAGUAAAUUAAUAUUGGAGUUGUAAAUUGACAUUAAGUUUGAAAUAAAAAAAAUUUGUAAACCACACAUAAAAUUAGUAAAUUGAUGGAAAAGAGAGUAAAUUAAUAUUGGAGUUAUAAAUUACAAGAAAAAAUUGUAAAUUUAACCAAAAUGUAUAAAUUGACAUUAAGUCUAAAAUAAAACAAAAAAUGUGUAAAUCACACAUAAGACUAGUAAAUUGAUUGAAAAUGUAGUAAAUUAAUGACUAGAGUUGUAAAUUACAAGAAAAAAUUGUAAACAAAACAAAAGCUUAGAAAAAUGAUAUAAAACUUGUAAAUUGACAUUAAGUCUAAAAGAAAACAAAAAAUGUGUAAACCAUACAUAAAACUAACAAAUUGAUAGAAAACAAGGUAAAUAAAUGUUGGAGUUUUAAAUUGGUCUUUAGAAUUGUAAAUAAAACAAAAAUUUUAAAUAUCGCAUAAAACUUGUAAAUCAACAUUAAGUGGCAAAUAAUACAUUAAUCUUGUAAAUCACACAUAAAACUAGUAAAUGUAACUUGCAACUUGAACAAAAAAAAAUAAUUACCUGCUACUUACGUAACAUGUUACCUAUUUAUUUAGAAUUAAUGGUGGUGACUCUUAUGGCAUUGCUGCCAUAAUUUUAAUUACGACAUUAUAGAAUGACUCUUUUUCAUUAAAAAACCUGGUUGUAAGUUAAAAUAAAUGUAACUUUGGGACAUCUUUAUUACUUCCACUUAAUUGCUUAAGAAAAUGCUUUUUUCAGUUGUAGGCCUUCUGCGGUUACCUAUGGGAUUUUGAUUAAAGUCUUUUGACUGAAAUGGAUGAUCAAGGUUCAAAGUCCAAUCUGGUAACAUUUCCUUUGUAUGCUGAUGAACCAUGCAGGGAUGACAAAGAUAAAAGUUCUAAAUCUAUUUAUUCCAAUUACAAAUUUUGGCUUUAGCUCUAAUGUUCUUAGUUGAAAUUCAUUCUAAAAUAACAAUAAAUAACUUAUCAACAUUUAAUCCAUCAAUUUUCAAGUUAAAACUGACCUCAAACACGUUCACCACAUUGGCCUAAGUCUUACUCAUCAUCUACAUAUCUGCUGAUAGAUUCUCUGAUAAGAAAGAAAUGAAACAAGUUAAAAAAUUCAUAGUAUUUAUCACCCACUGCAUGAAAGUCUAAAAGUAUGGAAAAUCUGCCUAGCAGCUAAAAUGCAAGGAGUUAAGACCACAAUUUUGGAUAUGAUAAGCUAGACAUAUAUAAGAGUAGAUCUAGAAAGUUUCAUUAUUUUUUGAGAAGUUCUAGCCGGUCCAAACAUUUUUUUCGAUCUUAAUUACAACACUGUAAAAAUGUGAAUUUUCCAGAAUCAUAGAGCCUAAUUUGAAAAUUUGUUAAAAAUAGAUAUAUGAUAUUGUUGGAUGAAAAAGAAUUCUACAUAUCCCUCAAGAUGUCUACUUUCAUUAGAUGUAAACAUAUGUUUACAACUUAAGAUAUAAAAUUUUAAAUAAUUUUCAAAGUAACUGACUAUCAUAUAAAUUCAGCGCAUUUCCUUAAUCCUCAUAGUUUUCAUUUAAUGAAAAAUUCUCCAACACAUAAUACCUGUGAAAAUCAUACAAAAACCUCAAGAAUUGUAACCCCCAUAACUUAAUCAUAGAGACCAAACCUAAUAAUUUUAAGAUAUAUAUAUAUAUAAAAUAAAGUACUCAAAUGUUUUAAAAAUGCAUACCUUAGACACCUCCACAAUUUUCUAAAAAUUGUUGCACUUAAAAGAUAAAAAUCAAGAAAAGUUUUAGCCUCUCUCAAUCAACCUCUCCUAGCUGACAAAAUGAAAAUGAAGAAGCUAACUCUCUUUUUAUGUCUUUAAUUUAUCUAUUUAUACCUAAGAUUUUUAGCAAAUGGGCUCGGAUGAAAUGGCCAAAAUUGGCUCGGCUAAAACUAGACUGAAUAAUAAAUAAGUCUAAGCACCAAUAUAAAGUUAAUAUUAAUACUAAUAUUAAUAGCAGUAAGGACGUGAAAUUUGUUAGAUGAUGCCACAUUGGUGUAGAUGAUUUUGGACGAUUGAAAAGCUGAACUCAACUCCAUCGUCACUCUAGAAAAUUUUCAUUUUCCUUUCAAAUUGGUUUUCAAUCUGUCACAAAAAAUUUAAAAACAUUCAAAAAGGUCAGAUUUCCUUUUCAAAAGGAAAUAGCCAUGAGAAUCUCGAGUGAUAAUCCAUAAAUAAAACAUAAUAACACUGAUUUUGACUAGAAUUAAUAACAAAUUGCAAUGGAUCUUUUGUAAAGGAAACAUAGAGAUAUUAUUAGAUCUUUUAAAUGAGAGUUUACAAUGUCUGCCUAAUUGGCAUGAUACACAAACACUAUGUGUCUUAAUCCAACCAAGUGAGUCAAAUUCAAUUGUACUUUCAUAAUCAUCAGCUAGUUGUUCUAUUGAAACUAUAUUCUUUAUUACAGAGACAACUAAAAUAUUUUUCGGCUUUAAAGUUCUUUUAGCUGUGCUUAAGGAGAUGUUGCCAAUAUGCGAAAUUUGUUAGCUUUGGUUGUUUCCCACAAAAAUUUUGUCAUUACAUUAUAAGUGGAUAUUUUAUCGAGUUCACCUGGAUCAUUUGGCACUUGAGAAGUGGCCCCUGAGUUAGAAUAAAAUUUCUAAUUGUUUGGAUCAUUGAUGUUGAGAGCAACAAGAGCUUGGGGCACUUCUUUAUUAUAGGAAUAGCAUUCAUACCUAUUAUGGCAAAUUGCAGUGGAGUGAUUUGGCUUACUGCAUAUUUGGCAUACAAUUUUCUUAUCUUGGUUGUUUCUUUUUUGGCUUCAGUAUUAUUUGGCUUUUGAGGAUAGCUUUGAGGGCAAUGAUUUUGUGGUUGAUUCAACAGAUAGUUUGGCUUUUGAUUGUAGAGCUAAUUUUUAUUUCUCCUUCCAUCAAUAUUAGAAGAACCUCCGUCAUAUCCACCCUGUCCUCCUGGUUGAUUUCGUCCGCGAAGCGCUCAUAAAAAAAAAAAAAAAAAAAAAAAAAACUUGAUUUUGGUUAAGCACCAUGUCUUCUCUUAAAGCAAUUAUUGUUUGCUCAUGAUUAUGAAGAGCUAACAUAAAUUGCUUCCAAGCAUAGGCAGCUCUUUCCCUAGGCAACUUAGACGGUUGUCUAGUGCCUCACUAUAGAUGAAGACCCCUGAUUUUAUUCCUAAAUUAUAGUUAUUAAUUAUUAUUUAUAUUUAUUAUUAUUUUAUAAUUAUAUUGUCCAUAAAAAAACUGCCAAAUUCUUACAAAGUCCCAUUUUAACAUUAUAAUUAACAAUUUUAAUCCCAUUUAUUUCCUCCAUAUAUUUCAUCUAAAACUCUAUAAAGGCCACAUAUUUUUUUAAAAUUAUUAUCCAUUAAUAUCUUUUUCCAAUAAAAAAAAAAUGAAACCUUCAUUGCUUUGGUGAAAAAAAUUACUUUCCCUACCCGACUUUUCACUUAAGAAAAAAAAAAUCAAUUGUUUUACUUCGAUCACUACUACUCAAAGUCUCAGUCCAUCAAAAUUAAAAUGAUCAAAUUAUCAAGUUCUAUCUUUCCAUUCUCUUAUUAAUUAAUUAUAUUAUUCAUUUAUUUUUGUUUCUUUUUAAAAAUAUUAUUGUGUUAAUAGGUUGUUUUGUUUUAAUUAUCUAGCAUAAUUGUUUGUUUAAUUACUCUUGUUUCAUAAGAAAAAAUAAUUGUCUACUAAAAAAAUAUGCAUCAGAAAUACAAAAAACUUCAAAAGCAAGAGAAGAAUAGAAAAGUUAGUUUAAUCUCAAAAAGGAGCCAUUGAUAAAAAUUUAUUUAAGAUCAACUAUGUCAUAAGAAAGAUUAAAUAGGUUAACUAUAUUGUCUAUUGAAAAAGAUAUAUUAGGAAAAUUAGAAUAUAAAAUUUUGAUUAAUUAUUUUGCAUCUCAAAAAGGAGCCAUUGAUAAAAACUUAUUUAAGAUCAACUAUGUCAUAGGAAAGAUUAAAUAGGUAACUAUAUUGUCUAUUGAGAAAGAUAUAUUAGGAAAAUUAGAAUAUAGAAAAUUGAUUAAUUAUUUUGCAUCUCAAAAGCUAGAGAAAUUGAUUUUAAAUAAAUAAAAUUUUAAUAAAAUUAAUACAUAAAUUUUAGCUCAAAUUUUUUGGAAGGCCUAAUUAAAACAAUUUGCCUAAGGCCUAAAAUAUGAUUGAGCCGCCUGUGCUUCCAAGUUGGGUAUGUUGGCUCAGUGAGCACAAUCGCUUUGAAGUCGCAUAAUUUGGGCCUAGAGCAUGAGAGGAUUAAAAUAUUUUAUCAUCUACCAAUAUCGGCUUGCCGAUGGCACUGCGCUUUUGAAUUUUUUUAAGGAUAUCUUCAAGUUCUAAAAAGCCUUCUUCAAUGAAUAUAGGUUGUCUUUCAGCACAAACACUUGUUCUUUAGUUAUGGACAACAUGCUUUCCUCGAUGGUAAGCCAAAUCUCUCGAGCGGUUUAAACGUCGAUGAUCAUGCUUAGCACACAUUUAGCCAUCAUUUCUCAUAACCAACUGAUAAGUAAUCCAUCAUUUUUUUUCCCAAACGAUGAAUUAUGGGUUGGCAGCUUCCUUUACAAAAUCUCGGAACCAAUAUUGUUUAUUUAAGGCACUAUGGGACAGCUUUGAACUUAUCAAGAAAUAAAUAGUUUUGAAAAUGUUGUUCACACUAGAUCGUCUUGAAAAUUCUAUGAAAGAUACCCACGGAUAUCCAGGAUAGUCUAUAUAUAUAUAUAUAUAUAAUAUUUUUUAAUUGCGAUCAGUUGAUUAAGGGUAAAAAUUUAAAAAAUCUGACUUACACAAGUAUGAGUUGGAAAAGUAGGAUAUUAGAAUAAGUUGUUAAUUGUUAUCUAUUGCAUAUGUUUAAGGUAUUUCAGGCUGUUGGAGGCUUAAAUAUUUGUUUAGAUCAUUGCUUUUGUCGUGGUAAAUAGCUUCAUUACUAAUGUACUCCAUAUGUAUAAUUAUUUUGAUACUAUUUUAAGUACACGUGUUUUGAUAGUUCUUAAAAAAUUAAUUAAUUUUCAUAACAAAAUUAGUUUAUGUAAAUGUUUUCAAAUCUAAAAAUUAUGUUAUAUGGUUUUAAAAAAUAUUCUAAAUGCCUUUACAUAUGCAUAAUUUUUCUUUACUAAAUGAUUAUUUUUAUGAAAUUGUCAAUAAAAUGUUACAAUGGAAUUCGUGUUGCUAGCCUAAUUUAUUAUUAUAUUCUUUUACGAAUCUGAUAUGAAAGUUUUGUUAACAUAUACGAUUGAGAUUUAUGAAACUUUGUGUGGCAGCCACAUCUUGAAGCUAUGUGAGGCCACUUCUCGAGGGUUAGAGUGCCAUAAAGUAACACUUAUUUUACAAAGCACCGUGUGAGGGUUAUUAUACAUAUGAACGAUGAAUUUAAAUAUUUUGGCUCAUUAUUUGUAGUUAUUGUGAUUUUGAUUUUAAUCAUAUUUUACUAUAUAUACAUGUUCCGGGCCAAUACUAGCUUUUGUUUUAAUUGUUAAAUGUUAUUCUGGUUCUGAUUCUAUUUUUAGCCGGGUUAUCAGAGUAUAGGUGAUACUAUAUACAUGAGCUAACCUUUUGUUUUUUUUUUGUGUAUAUAUGUUAUGUGAUUUAUUUUCAUGAUUAAUUAUGCUUUUGAUAUUCAGAAUCAAUUAUGAAUUUAUUGUUAGAAAAUGACCAUUUGGUGAAAUCUAUCACCUAAAUUCUGUCAAUAAAUGAAUAUGCAAAAAUUUCUUGAAUCCAUAAUGUUUAAUUAUUCUAUAGAGCUGUGUGGUUUGUCUUCUGGAUCAACAUGUUAUCUUAGAGAAUCCUUUAACUUUCUUUGUGCACUCUCUCUAAUGACGGAAUAUCAGAAAGAAUAGAAUGUUACAUGUGACCAAUAGACAAUAGCCACUUAUAUAAAUAACUUUUUUUUAUUAUCUUUAGGUAUUUCUAUUUCAGCUCAUCAUAGAAAUAGAAACUACCCUUAAGUCUCUUUAUAUUGAAGGCCCACACCCAAUCAGAUAUAUUAAAGCGCAAAUUACUGAAAACCUUAUAAGAUCACUUUUAAUUAGGCUUAGCCAUAUGUGAUAGUUUGUAACAUAUAAUUAUUCAAAUAUAAGCCCAACAUUAAAUUAAGAAUCCAGCAAUCUCCCACUUAGGCUAUAUGGGUAACCUUAUAAUUAUUCUCUGCAAAAAUAACGUAUGAGCUCAAUCUUACUGCUAUUACCGAAAUGUUUUUAUAACAAGUCCGAUCCAUUAAUCAUACCAAUGUAAGAUUAAAGUUGCGUUUGUUACAACUGUUGUAACUCGAGCCAUCAAUGCUCAUUAUGCCAAUACGACUGAAUGACAUGGAUCAUGAUAUGGAUGUGUAGCAUGGAAUCAUGUAAUGUGAUCUUAACUGAUGUGAACCUUACAAAGAUAACUUAGUUGGUGAAUGCACACUCUUAUUGUAUGCAAAUUCUACAUGUGGCAAAUAUUCUUCCAAUGUUUUCAAGUUCUAUUGUAUUAUAACACUCAAAUUAUGGUUCAUUAAUCUCAUAAAAGUAAUAGGUACAUUGUUUAAUCCAAAUGGCAUAGCUAGCCACUUAUAUAAGCCAUAUUUUGUUUUAAGUGCAAUUUUCCAUUAAUCACAUUAUCUUAUCUUAAUUUGAUGAUAUCUUCUCUUAAGAUAAAUUAUGGGGGGGGGGGGGGAUAACACUAGAACUAUAUAUUUCAUCAAGCAUGUCAUCUAAUCUAGGAAUUGGAUAUCUAUACUCUACAAUGGUAUUGUUGAUAGCACAACAAUCAACACACAUCCUCCAUGGCCCAUCAUUUUUAGGAACAAGCAACACUGGAACAACAUAAGGACUCAUGCUUUCAUGCACAUAUCUGUUCUUCAUAAACUCACUCACUUGUCUUCGAAGUUCUUUUGUCUCCUUCGAAUUGCUUCUAUAGGCUAGGCUAUUUAGAAUUGAUGCUCUAGGUAUUAAAGUCAAGUUGAUGCUCAAUUCCUCUUAAUAGUGAUAAACCAUUAGGUACUUCUUCCAGAAAUACAUCUCUAAGUUCUUAUAAAAGAGAAACAAGACUAGGCAAAGAAGGAUUAAGUUCAUUAUACUUAAGCAAGCCUCUUUAUAUAAAAGCACAAUCGUAGGUUGUUAUAAAAUUAAAGCUAUUGUAAUAUCACUUUCAUUUGCAUAAAAAUUUUCUUGUUUUCUCACUUUUCUUUUCCCACUAACUGAAAUUUCCUUUUUUUUUUUUUUCUUUUUAGUUUCAACCCCUCUUGAUUUUAAACUCUCACACUAUUUUUUCAAGUCACUUUAUUUUUUUUAACCGUACUUGUUCAUCAUACACUUGUAUUGGGGAUAGAGGUACAAGCCAUUAAGUAUAAAAGAUUACCUAUUGGUAUAACCAUCAUGAAAGACAUGUCUAUAAAACUGCCAUGGUUGCCCUAAAAGAAUAUGCCCUGCAUGCAUGGGCACCAUGACACACAUAACUUCAUCUUUAUACUUUCCAAUUGAGAAUGAAACAAGCACUUGCCUAUUCACUUUAACUUCUCAACAAUCAUUUAGCCAAUUUAGCUUACAUGGCCUAUAAUGUUUUAAAGUUAUCAAACUCAAUUUUUCAACUAAACUAGUGCUAGUCACACUAGUACAACUUCUUCUAUCAAUAAUCAUGCUACAUACAUUAUUGACAUGACAUCUUAAAAUUAUUCAAUCAAUCACAUAGAAUCACAAAUAAAAUUAGAAGUUCAAAGGUUUUAAAUUAUUUCCUACCUUCAACACAAAAUCAAAGCUCAAGAACUCCUUUAAUAGAAAAUAGGAACACAAUCAAAAUUUUCCCCUCUUCUUAUUCAAAACAUUAAUUUACUCUUACGUUUGCUGCUGUAUUCUUUUCUUUAUUAACCUCUAGGCUUUUGAGGAAAAAAAUAAUGUAGAAGAGCUUUUAUAGACCAAGCCUUUUUAAAACCCUUACCUAUUAAGGAAUUUAUUUCCUUUUUACAUAAGGUAUUUAAUAAAUAAAAUAAAAAUAAGUGAUUUAAGAUUUAAAAAAAUAAAAUAAAAUACCCUUAAAUACAUUAACCCAAAAUAUUAUAUCUUAUAAAAUAGAUAUAUAAUAAUAAAACAAUAGGUGUUACGCCCAUCCAGGUAAGUAAUGGGGGGUUGAACUCUCUCUCUCUAUUUUCAUAACUUCUCUCCCAUAUCAUUAUUACUCAGAUUUGUUUAGAAAGCUUUUUCACUUAAAACAAUAAUUAAAAAAAGCCGCGAGAGUUGCGGCAUAAGUUUUUCAAGAAAGCCCCAAUUACUGACUUGAGUGUUAGAGGAUUCACGCUAGAAAAACAUCGACGUCUCCCUAACGAUUUUUGUGGAUGUAGGUGAGUUUCAUAAGAGGUGCUUGUGGUCGCUAGUUUUUGCUCAAGUAAAGGAAGUGCAAGCAAGUAUCGUCUCCCAUAAAAACGAAUUGAACUGUUGGCGUGGAAGCCUGAUUGCAUCAACCUCGACCAGAUUUCUCCACCAACAAAAGUGAUAUGGUUGUACUUCUAAGUCAUGGUUAGUAGGUGUUAUUUUAUCCAUAAUAUGUUUCCAAUAAAUUCCAUUGAUUUUAUGUUUUCAUGAUUUUAAAGUGUUUUCAUAUAGGGUUCAUCGAGGAGUAUGAUUCUCCAACAUAGUUGCUAUAGAACAAUCCAUCAUCUUUUGUACAACUUGUUUUGAGUAGUAGGCAGAAAUUGAAGCCAUGCCAUAGUAAAUCACAAUUUUGGUUAGUUUCUUGGUGAUGAUGAAAGUUGGGUUUUGUUGAAGUUUGAUUGUGUGUAGCACGUAUGGCAGGUCACAUGACCAAGUCUUAAAUAAAAUUAAUUAGUUUAUGUUGAGUCCUAGUCAAUAAGAGUUUGUUAUUUAAUUGGUUAUUGGUAGCAUAAGUGUCCUAUUCAAAAGCAUGUGGUUUCUAUUUUUUAGGAAAAUUUUUUUUGCACGUUAUGUAGUGCUGGGUUUCAUGCUUUAUCAGUUGGUGUAAUUGCCUAUAUAAAGGCCAUUGAUUAAUGAAUAAUUGAAUGUUUGUAUUUUCAGCUCUACUCUAUUUUUGUACAGAGGCUUUAUUUACAACAGUGGCAUCAGAGCGAGGUUAAAAAAACAACAAUUGAGGACGAUGGCCUCUGACAAUUUCGUGGAACCUGCAAUUCCACGCUUUAAUGGUCACUAUGAUCAUUGGAGCAUGUUGAUGGAGAAUUUCUUCAGGUCUAAAGAGUAUUGGCAAGUAGUUUCUGAAGGCAUAACAAAACCAACAGCUGGCACGGUAGUGACGGAUGCACAAAAUACGGAGAUUGAGGGGCAGAGGCUAAAUGAUUCAAAGGCAAAGAAUUACAUAUUCCAAGCAAUUGAUCGUUCAAUCUUAGAUACCAUUCUUUGCAAAGACACUCCAAAAUGAUAUAGGAUUCCAUGAAGAAAAAGUAUCAAGGGUCAACAAGACUUAAGAGGCAGCAGCUUCAAGCACUUCGUACUGAGUUCGAAUUGCUUCGUAUGAAAUCAGGAGAGUCAGUCACAGAGUAUUCUCACGGACAAUGGCAAUUGUAAACAAAAUGCGAACUCACGGCGAAACGAUGACAGAUGUUACAAUAAUAGAAAAAAUUCUUCGCUCAAUGACUCUGAAAUUUAAUUAUGUUGUUUGUUCCAUUAAAGAAUCAAAAGACAUUGAUGAACUUUCAAUUGAUGAGUUGCAGGGAUCCUUGCUAGUUCAUGACCAGAAAUUCGCCAGGGAAGACAAGGAGGAGCAAGCUCUAAAGGCUUUAACUAACAACAAUAUUACAACACCAAAUAGAUCAGCAGAUCGAGGUAGAGGAAGAGGAAUAGGAGGACGAGGAAAUAGAGAUGGAGGUAGAGGUAGAGGCGGACAAGGCAAUUUUAGAGAUGAUGAGGACCAAUCAGAUUUCCAAAACAAAGGUAGAGGCUGAAAUCAUCAAUUUGACAAAUCCAAGGUAGAGUACUUUAGAUGUCAUAAAUUUGGUCACUAUCGUUCUGAAUGUUAUACAAAAUUGCCUAACGACAAAGAAAAUUGAGAGAAAUCGAAUUUUACAGAAAAUAAAGAAGUGGAAACCUUGUUGAUGGAUGUUCAAGUCAAUCAAGAACUUGAGUCAGAUGUGUGGUAUGUGGAUACAGGCUGCAGCAACCAUAUGUGUGGAAGUAAGUCACUCUUUUCUUCCUUAAAUGAAGACUUUCGUUCGACAAUGAGUUUUGGUGAUUGUUCUACUGUUGAAAUAAUGGGAAAGGGUGAUAUUAACAUUAUAACUAAUAAUGGUUUUGUAGAAACAAUUUCCAAUGUUUUCUAUGUUCCUGCUUGAAAAGUAAUUUGUUAAGUGUUGGUCAAUUGCAAGAAAAGGGUUAUGUAACUUGUGAAAUAUAUGACCCUUUUAGAGGAGCUGUUGCAGUUGUUCAAAUGAAUUCAAACAAGUUGUUUCCAUUGAAGAUUAAUAGUGCACAAUCUUGCUUAAUGGUUAAAGUGAAAGAUCCUUCAUGGCUUUGGCACUUUCGCUAUGGCCACUUGAAUUUUGGUGGACUAAAAACUCUCCAACAGAAAAAUAUGGUUAUAAGUCUUCCUGAAAUCGCCAUUCCCUCUCAAGUUUGUGAAGAAUGUGUUGUUAACAAACAACAUCGUUCUCAAUUCCCUCAAGGAAAGUCAUGGAGAGCAAAAAAUGUCUUGGAGUUGAUUCAUUCCGACAUUUGUGGGCCAAUAAAACUAUCAUCUAAUGGAGGUAAAAAGUAUUUAAUUACUUUCAUUAACGAUUAUACUCGGAAAACAUGGGUGUAUUUUUUGCAGGAAAAAUCAUAAGCUUUUGGUAUAUUUAAAAGUUUCAAGGCUCGUGUUGAGAAUGAAACAAGGAAAACAAUUAAAACUCUUCGAACUAAUCGUGGUGGCGAAUACUGCUCAAAAGUAUUUGAAAUUUUUUGUAUUAAUCACGGUAUUCGAAGGGAACUCACAGCUGCUUAUACACCAUAGCAAAAUGGUCUAUUGGAAAGAAAAAAUAGAACUAUUCUCAACAUGGUGAAAAGCUUGCUGAGAAGAGGGAGAAUUCCAAAGAGCUUUUGGCCGAAAGCAGUAAAUUGGAGCAUCCAUGUCUUGAAUAGAAGUCCUACUUUUUCUGUUCAAAACAUAACACCAGAAGAGGCUUGGAGUGGCCGAAAACCAGUUGUUGAUCACUUCAGAAUUUUCGGUUGCAUCGCUUAUGCACAUGUUCCAGAUGAGAAAAGGAAAAAGCUUGAUGAUAAAGGUGAAAAGUGUGUCUUUCUUGGCAUAAGUGAAGAAUCCAAGGCAUAUAAAUUUAUCAAUCCAAUCACGAAGAAGAUAAUAAUCAGCAAAGAUGUCAUUUUUGAUGAGGAAAGCACUUGGAACUGGAAUGGGCAGCAGCCUACACAAGUCAUGUUUGACAGUGACAGUGAAGAAGAAAAUCAACAAUCGUUACAACAACAAAUUUCAGCGGUUCCUACACCAUCAAAUGUAGCUUCAACAGCUGCCGAAACGUCCUCAUCAGUUGUAGAAGCUACUGAAGUAGCAGCUGAACCACGUCUUCGCUGAGGUCGGAAGAGGCCAAUAUGGAUGCAAGAUUAUGAGGUAACUUGUGUUCAAUUUGAUAUUGAUGAUACAAUUGCUCAUUAUGCUUUGUUCUCAGAUUGUGAUCCUAUUAUAUUCCAAGAAACUGUCAAGGAUUUCAGCGGUUCCUACACCAUCAAAUGUAGCUUCAACAGCUGCCGAAACGUCCUCAUCAGUUGUAGAAGCUACUGAAGUAGCAGCUGAACCACGUCUUCGCCGAGGUCGGAAGAGGCCAAUAUGGAUGAAAGAUUAUGAGGUAACUUGUGUUCAAUCUGAUAGUGAUGAUACAAUUGUUCAUUAUGCUUUGUUCUCAGAUUGUGAUCCUGUUAUAUUCCAAGAAAUUGUCAAGGAUUUAAAGUGGCAAAAAGCCAUGGAUGAAGAGAUAUGUUCUAUAGAGAAAAAUGAAAGUUGGGACCUGGUUGACCUUCCAAAAGGGCAAAAAUCCAUUGGGGUUAAAUGGGUUUACAAAACAAAAUUGAAAAAGGAUGGUGGAAUUGACAAGUACAAAGCCCGUCUCGUUGCAAAAGGUACAAACAAGAACAUGGUGUUGAUUAUAAAGAGGUGUUUGCUCCAGUUGCAAGACUUGACACUAUUUGCUUAGUGUUAUCCAUGGCUGCACAUAAUUCCUGGCCUAUCUAUUAGUUGGAUGUAAAGUCAGCAUUUUUGCAUGGCGAGUUGGAAGAAGAGAUGUAUGUUGAUCAGCUUCUUGGAUAUGUGAGGCAAGGUCAUGAGAAUCAGGUAUACAAAUUAAAGAAAGCAUUAUACGGAUUGAAGCAAGCACCGAGAGUGUGGUACAGUCGUAUAGAUGCUUUCUUUACUAAGGAAUGUUUUCUUAAAUGCCCUUAUGAACACACAUGAUUUAUUAAAUAUAGAGGUGAUACGAAAAUAUUAAUUGUGUGUUUAUAUGUUGAUGAUCUCAUUUAUGUUAGUAAUGACAGAGCCAUGCUUAAUGAUUUUAAGAAAUCUAUGAUGAUUGAAUUUGAUAUGACUGAUUUGGGGUUGAUGCAUUAUUUUCUUGGCAUUGAAGUACUGCAAUCCUCUACUAGUGUCUUUAUUUCUCAAAAAAAAUAUGCUCUGGAAAUUUUAGACAGAUUCAUGAUGAAGGAUUGCAAUUCGGUUUCAACUCCAAUAGAGUAUGGUCUGAAACUCUUAAAGAAUGAAGCUGGAAAAAGGGUGGAUGCUACUCUUUACAAACAAAUUGUUGGGAGUCUUAUGUAUUUGACAUCAACAAUACUAGAUAUUAUGCAUGUUGUCAGUUUAAUUAGCAGAUACAUGGAGAAUCCAACUGAAGCUCAUCUCUUAGCUGCAAAGAGAAUUUUUUAUUAUGUUAAAGGCACUGCAGACUUUGGAAUCUUGUACAAAAAUGGUGAAAAUUCAAACUUGAUUGGGUUCUCAAACAAUGAUUAUGCUGGAGCACAUCUGGAGCAGUAUUUAUGUUGAAUUUUGGAGCUGUUGCAUGGUCAUCUAAAAAGCAACAAAUAGUGACUUUGUCAACAACCGAAGCUGAGUUGGUUGCUGCAGCAUCAAGUUCAUGUGAAGCUAUUUGGCUGAGAAGGUUACUUGAAACUUUCCACAACCAGCAGCAAGGACCAACUGUGAUCUAUUGUGAUAAUGUUUCUGCAAUAAAACUCUCAAAAAAUCCAGUCCUCCAUGGAAAAAGCAAACAUAUUGAUGUGAGGUUUCACUUCUUGUGUGAUUUAUGUAAGGAUGGUGUUAUUGAUCUGGUAUUUUGCAGGAGUGAAGAUCAAUUGGCAGAUUUAUUGACUAAACUGCUAAAACCUGCAGUUUUUAUGAAACUUCGAAGUAUGCUUGGCAUUUGCUCUUCAAAGGAAGCUGAAGUUGUUUAAAAGAGAGCAUUACAAUUUGAUGUAUGUAAACUGAUUUCUGUAGAUAUCAGUUUAAGGGAGGGUGUUGAAGUUUGAUUGUGUGUGGCACGUGUGGCAGGUCACAUGACCAAGUCUUAAAUAAAAUUAAUUAGUUUAUGUUGAGUUCUAGUCAAUAGGAGUUUGUUAUUUAAUUGGUUAUUGAUAGCAUAAGUGUCCUAUUCAAAAGCAUGUCGUUCUAUUUUUUAGGAAAAUUUGUUUUGCACGUUAUGUAGUGCUCGGUUUCAUGCUUUAUCAGUUGGUGUAAUUGCCUAUAUAAAGGCCAUUGAUUAAUGAAUAAUUGAAUCAAUUCAGCACUUCCUCUUUCCUUUAUCUUUUGUAUUUUCAGCUCUACUCUAUUUUUGUACAGAGGCUUUAUUUACAACAGGUUUUUCGGGAAGACUUCGACCAUGUAGCACUGCAAAUUCGUAGUGAACUUUGUGUGGCUUAAGUUAUUCAAAUGUAGCAUUGCUUGUAAUAAUAAUAUAUAUAUAUAUAAAAGUUAUGAAGACAGCUUCAAAGUAAUUAAAAUUUCUUACGUUUCUUAUCCCAUGAACUUUGUGUGGCUUAAGUUUAUCUUUCCAAAUUUUCAAAAUUCAAAACAGUAGAGUUGAAAACUCAACAUCCUCUGGGAUGUUAAAUUAAAUAAAAAGAUAGAAUUGCUGUAGUUGUAUGACUUUCAUGCAUACUGUAAAACAGAGGAAGCUUUCAAAUGUGAAUGGCCAUCAUGUUUUUUUUUCCACCAAGCUGAUUAAUUGGUAUCAUUUCUUUGUCACACUAAUUUUAUCUACGGUGUUAAAUCCUGUUUUGCGCCAAUUAGUCAAAAGGCAAGGCUCUGUUAAAAUAUCUGAACCUUACAUUACUCUCGUUGCCGUUGGGAAGAAGAUUCAUUGGAGAAAAGAAGAUUCAUUGCAGAAAAAUGAUAAAUCAACAAAAGUAUUUUCCUCUUGCACACGUAACAUAAGACCUGUUCUUCAUUUCUUACUUGUCAAUGUGGAUGAUAGAAUCAUAUAAUAGUGUACAGCACUGAUAAAUUUCAGUUUAUAAUCACCUCUGUUUUUGUGUUUUCAUUAGAAAAAAUGGGUAGGCGAACAUGGUCUUUCCAAAUUUUCUGUCUCCUCUUAUUGAUCUUGUAUUUACCAAUUUCUGCAAAACUUUGCUCCCAUUACCAGACUUCAAUGCUGCUUCAGUUUAAACAACUAUUUUCCUUUGAAACUCGUCAACCUUCUAGCUGUGGUAGGCUACAAUCUGAUUCUUAUUCAAAGAUGAUAUCUUGGAAAGAGGAGAAGGAUUGUUGCUCAUGGGAUGGAGUAACAUGUGACAUGAUGACUGGUCAUGUGACUGGCCUUGACCUUAGUUGUAGUAGGCUUCAUGGCAGCAUCCCCUCCGACAGUAGCCUUUUCUCCCUUCCUCACCUGCAAAUCCUCAACCUUGCUUUCAACGAUUUCAAUUACUCUUAUAUUUCUCCUGGUUUUACCAGAUUCCCCAAUUUGGCACAUCUGAACCUCUCUGUCUCCAGUUUUUCAGGUCAAAUUCCAGCUGAAAUCUCCCAUUUGUCUAAGCUAGUUUCACUUGACCUUUCUGGCAACUCUCAGUUGGGACUUGAUACCCCUGUUUUGAAAGCACUCGUUCAAAAUCUAAAUGAGCUUCAAGAACUUGUUCUGAAUUCAGUAGAUAUGUCUUAUGAAGUGCCCAGUUUCUUGACAAAUCUAUCUUCUUUAACUUCUCUAGAUCUCGGAAAUUGUGGAUUACAAGGGAGCAUCCCAGAAAACAUCUUCCGCCUACCAAACCUACAGAACCUCAUUUUGAGUUACAACAAGAAUCUGACAAGUGUUUUUCCGAAGGUUAAUUGGAGCAGCCCCCUAAGGUUUAUGGAUCUUUAUGGUUGCAAUUUCAUGGGGUCAAUCCCUGCAUCACUUGGUAAUCUUUCUCAACUUACUUAUUUGGAUCUCUCCUACAACAACUUUAGCGGUCACAUUCCCUCAACCCUUUCAAAUCUUCAGCAACUCCGCCAUUUAGAUCUUUCAAACAAUAAGUUCACUGGGCAAAUUCCAUGUAUUUUUGCCAAUCUAACACAACUUUCCUUUUUAGACUUCUCAAAUAAUCAGUUAAAUGGUCCAAUUCCUUCUUCUGUUAGUCGGCUUCAUAGUUUAGUUACUAUAUACUUAUCUUAUAACUCUCUCAAUGGGACUAUCCCAUCUGGGCUAUUCACUUCACCAUUACUAGAGUCAAUAGACCUCAGAAAUAACCAGCUAACCGGCUCAAUUUCAAAUUCUAUAUCUGAGCUUGUGAAUCUUAUUGAUCUCUCCCUUUCUUCAAACAAUUUAAGUGGCAACGUAGAACUUUACAUGUUUGCUGAACUCAAAAAUCUUCUCGGGCUUGAUCUUUCUCAUAACAGUCUAUCAUUGAGCACUGUAUUACCAGUCAACUCUUC